rnacentral:lncRNA from 1 species
CGAGAAAAACAAGAAUUGCAGUUAUUCAUUGAUCAUCAUAAAUAAUAAUUUGCAAGAUCGAAUCUACAGUUGCAAUAAUCUUAAUCACAGAUCACCGGAAUUCGAAUCGUGAAUAGCCAGAGGUUUAUUCGUGUUUUCCAAUUGUUUUAUAAUGUUAUCAUAAGCCACCAUCACUACAAGCCCUACCGGAACCAAUACAUAAUCAAGAAUAUGUUUCUCCAUAUAUAUCUGAAUUUCAAAUAUAUAGUAUAUGAGAUUUAUUCUAGAAAACAAAAUUAAAAUUAAAAUCAGAUGUGAUUAAUUAUGCCAAAAAUAUAUCUUCUUGUGGAGUAGUGAAUGAGCCAAAAAGAAAGUGUACCGUAAACAAUUGCGGUUUAUAUAUAUACACACAGUAGGUGUGUUUUAGUGCGUGUGAUUAAAUAAAUGAGACGAUGAAUUCAAUUUUGACACGGGUCUGCAUGAUGUGAAUCAAAUAACAUAUAUUUAUUACCUUCGCAAAUAUAUACAUACAAUAUUUAUUAGACAUAUACACAGUCCAUGUACAGACACAUACAUUAAAUAUUCGAUAUAUAUAUAUAUAUAUAUAUAUAUAUACAAUUACACUGUAUAUUUAGACUAUUGGCAAUGGGUGGGGAUGAAGCUAAUAUCAUGCAAUAAGAAAAACAACGAUCCCCCAGAACAAUAGAGAAAUUCCGACUUGUGCUGGCUUCUAAGAUAAAAUCCACCCAUGUACUAGCCAUAAAGAUUCACAAACUCGAUAUUUAUUAUAAAUUAUCUAGAUGAUGACAAGACACUAAAAUACCCUAACCCCCAUCUCAAGUGUAGUUAGAGUCUACCCUAAUAUCACACUUCUCCGUUAUGAACCUGCUAUUAAGAGAGUAUUUAGGUCAAGUGCUUAAGGGCUACCAGAGGUGCAUCACGUCUCCAUUUCCACAACCCGAGCUAUGGUUUUAUGAAAUCAAACGAGUAAUCAUGUCUCAAUUUCAUUCCCAUUUACAAUCAAUUCAACUGUGAUAUGAUGUGAUAAAUUUGAUAAAAUUAUCAAAUUCUUUAAACUUAAGAGACCAUUCCACUGUUUAUAUACAAGUGUAUAUAAAUAAUAUCCCGUGCAUUGCACGGGGUAAAAAAAUAAAUUAGAAAUUAUAUCAAAAUAUUUUUUUAACCAUAAGCGAAAUAAACGCGUAAAUAAAUAACGACCUUAUUGUCUAUUAAGACCAUAUCGAUACUGAUCAUUUCAUUUGGAUUGCUUUUGCUAGGAGCUUUCCACAGACGCAUGACCCGAACCACCACUUUCCAGUCAAAUCGACACGGCUUAAGAUCAAUGAGGUUGGUCGUUGUUUGUGCCAUUUUGGUCCUUUUUUGCGCCAUUCUAUAUGAAAAUCGAACAAUAUAUUAAGGAUAUAAAGAAUUCAAGAAAAAGAGUCCACGAACUUAUAUAAAAGAUGAAAGGGUGCAAUACAAACAUAUAAGAAAAAUACAGAUGCAAAUAAAAUGUACAGAGAAAGUGAAAAAAAGAUGAAAGGGAGAAUCCUUACCAUAUCUUCUGGUUUCACUUUGCAAAAUAACUAAAUAUGAAUGGGUUGAGAAGUUGAGAGGUCGGAUAUAAAUAUGAAGAGAAAACAUAAACGUGUUGAAGUGGGAGGGAGUAGUUGAAAGUGUUGGAAAUCUUUGGGAAUCGGGAAAAUCGGAACAAAAAAAAAAGUGAGAUGGAAAAUAAAUAAAUAAACAUAAAAUCGAGAAAAUAAAUUGAGAUGGAAAACGAAAAAAAUAUGGUGGAGAUAAAAUAAAAAAAUUGCAAAAAAACAAAAAAGAGAUUUUAAUAUUUAGAAGGAAUCGGGAUUAGGGACAAAAAAGAUUUGGAAGAUUUAAUUAGUUGUGUAUUAGAGAUUUUAGGGCUGAAAAAAUUAGGAGAGAUGGAAUUACAAAAAAAAAAAGAGAGAUUUUAAUAUGUAGAAGAUUUAAUUAGUUUCGGGAAAAUCGGAACAAAAAAAAGUGAGAUGGAAAAUAAAUAAAUAAACAUAAAAUCGAGAAAAUAAAUUGAGAUGGAAAACGGAAAAAAUAUGGUGGUGAUUAGGAGAUAAACCUAAAAUCGAGAAAAUAAAUUGAUUUUAAUAUGUAGAAGAUUUAAUUAGUUUCAGGAAAAUCGGAACAAGAAAAAGUGAGAUGGAAAAUAAAUAAAUAAACAAAAAAUCGAGAAAAUAAAUUGAGAUGGAAAACGGAAAAAAUAUGGUGGGAUUAGGUGAUAAACAUAAAAUCGAGAAAAUAAAUUGAGAUGGAAAACGGAAAAAAUAUGGUUGAGAUAAAAUAAAAAAAUUACAAAAAAACAAAAAAAAGAGAUUUUAAUAUUUAGAAGAAAUCGGGAUUAGAGACAAAAAAGAUUGGGGAUUGAUUGUUGGGUAUUUAGAGCUUUAAUAAUUAUCAAAAUUAAAACUAACCCCUGAAAAAUCAUACCUUAUUGCUACUUAUGUAAUUAUUUAUUUUUAAUAUUUUUUUUGUAAUAAACUUUUAACUAUAAUUUUCAACAAUUGUUGAUCUUCUAAUUUUCAUCAAUAUAUCUCAAAUCUUAAGAGAUAAAGCUAUCAAUUUAAUAUGAAUAAUACUACAUUAUUAAAUUUUAUUGUAUUAGUGUACUAUAUUUUAUUCUUAUGUAUUAAAUUGAUUAUUUUUUUCACUAUUUAAAUAAUAUCCCGUGGAUGCAAAAAUGCUAGUAAUAUAUAAACUAAUAAUGUAUAAAAGUAAUUUUUAUAUUACAUAGUAGAAUACACAUUUUAAUUAUAGUAAAAUUCCUUUUGUUUAUAUCCAAUUAAAAUAAAGUAUUAAAUUUAGUUUAUAGAUUUUCGUGUCCAUAAUUAAAGUUGAAAAAAACACAUAGAAAUAGUGUGAUUGUGUGAAGGAAGGCCCAAGAGAAAUACAAGCCCACCCAACCCAAUCUCUCUGUUGAAUCGUCGGCGCGCACAGAUCGCUCUCGCAAUUCGCCGCCGCCCUGCACCGAAACUUGAAAUUAGUAUGGUUCCUUUGAAUUGAUUACAGUGAGUCAACUCAGGUUCAGUAUAAAUAGGUAUAAAAAAGGAGAAAUGACGAGCUAUAUGUGGAGGAAAUACGCUGACUAUGUGUACACGAAAUGGGGGAGGACGAUUCUCUGGAUAUGAUUGAUCCAUACCGGCGGCCCAAAUCGUUCACUCCGUUAGUCACCAUCUACAUCUGUGCUUUUUAUACUGGUGUUGUAGGCGCUGCAAUCACCGAGCAGCUGCACAAGGUAAAACCUAACCACUUGUUUUUCCGACCUUUUUUUCAGAUUCAAAAUGUAUUUUGCUUGGCACUAUUAAUUUGCUCUAUUGAUUUUCUUACGAAUUAUUGAAAUCUUUUUGGCACUAUUAAUGAUUUUUUUAUAACUGCAAGUAUUAGAUUGGUAUGCCUCUAGUCCUAGGUCUUUUAGGUGGUGAAAUAUUCGGGUAAAAUAGAACAAAACCCGAGUUCUGGGCAUCGAAUUGUAAAAUUGAGUUCCUUCGGUUCGUGUUUGCUGAUUUUGAAUUCGAUUGAAAUGCACGAUACUGAUUUUGACGAAGAACCACGCAUUCCUGGAUCGCGAUAUGGGCACGUUUUUUGAGGAAGAUAUUUUAUUUUGCAAAGCUUCUUGAGGAAGCUUUGCAUUUCACUAUAAAUAGAAAGGCCCUUUCAUUCUUCAUUCCUUCUUCGACUUUUUACGGUUUUCGACAGUUCUUCGCGAGAAUCAUCAACGGGGGUUCCGACUUGGGUUUUUCUUACGCAAUUUCUUUACGUUUUGUUCUUCAUUUCCUUUGUACAUUCUUUUGAUACUAUGCUUGUUAUGAACUAAGAACAUUUUCUUCUAGGGUAAUGAAGCCUUGUAUAUAUUGAUUUCGAUCGUCAUUUCUGUUAUCUAUUUGUCGUGUUUUGAUUUCGUUUAUGUUUUCCUGUAUUAAAUGCUUCUGAUUGUUUGAUCAGCUCUCGGAUUGAUAUUAAAUAGGAAUGAACUCGAGAGAGGAUUUCUUGUUUGAAGUUAGGAAAAUAUAGCUCGGGGUGUGGAAACGGAGACGUGAUGCACUCCGGGUAGCCCUUAAGGACUUGACCUAAAUGCCCUCUUAAUAGCAGGUUCUGAACGGAGACGUCGGACCUGUGGGUAGACUCUAACUACACUGGAGACGGGGGUUAGAGUACAUUAGCGUCUGGGUUAAGGAAUAGGAAUGUGGCAUUAGAUAACAGAUUUGUAGAUCGUUGUUGAUUAUACAUAGGUGGAUUUGGCCCUAGAAGUCCCCUUUAAAUCGAAGUCCCCCCGCGUUGAGUUGUCGUUACUUUAUUUACGUACAUUCUAUAUUUGCAUGUUUACGAUCUUGCAUGCUUUUAAAUUAGGGUUUCUCACAAUUCCAAAUAUUUACGUUCGGCUAGAUAAUAUAACGAUAAUAUAAUUACACUACUCAGCAUGUGAAUCUACAAGGUCCCUGUGGAUCGAUAUCCGGAACGACUGUUCUGCAAAAUGCGAUACUGUAUACUUGCGGUAAUUUAUACGUGAGGAAAACGCGAACCAAGUUUUUGGCGCCGUUGUUGGGGACCAAUUUGAUUUUAUCUUUGUUGAUAGUGUUACCAAUUAUCUGACUAUUACUUUAGCUAUUUACCUGCUUUAUUAUCGAUUUCCACCUUGAUUUUAACCGAUCACUUUGUUUAUGCCCAGGCGUCGAAAUUUGGAAAUCAUACCUUACGAUCCCGAGAUUGAAAGGACGUUUCGCAGACGAAGGGCCGCGCGCAACCAACAAAGUGAACCAAUGGCCGAAGAUCAAGGAAAUCUAGAGCACCUGGCCUUUGAGUACGAUCGAGAGCCAGGACGAGAUCACGAGCAGCCAAGACCGAACCUACCACCCGAGCGAACAAUGCGAGAAUACCGAACCCCAGAUGUGAAUGAGAACUAUUCUGGAAUCAGGAAAUCGACAGAUGAGCCAAGAGCCGAUGCACGAGUCUUGGGAGAGAUUCAAGGACUUAUUACGACAAUGCCCUCAACACGGAUUCAACCCGUGGGAUCAAAUGGAGUUAUUCUACAAUGGGCUCGAUCAACCAGCCCGAUCUCUAGUCGAUGCUGCCUCAGGUGGAUCAUUGCAAAACAAGACUCCCACAGACGCUCGAGACAUUGUCUAGCGAAUGUGUGAGAAUGCUUACCAUUGGCCGUCCGAACGGAGUGGUAUACAAAAGCUGGCCGGAGUCCACCAACUAGAUCCUUUAGCCGCAGUUUCAGCACAAUUAGCUACUCUAUCAAAUCAGGUCGCCCAAUAAUCAGUUCGAGGGCCACAGACCGAACGAGUAGCAGCAGCAAGUACCUCACAAGCCACAAAUGACGAUUGGGAGCAGACACACUUUAUGAACCACCGAUUCAACAAUUUCCGGGGAACCAACAAUCAGAACCAAAACCCUACUCAUUACCACCCGGGAAUUCGGAAUCACGAGAACUUCUCCUAUGCCAAUCCAAAGAAUGUUCUACAACCACCUCCCGAUUUCAACCAUCAAAGAGAGCAACGAGGGCCAACGUAUGACGAGCGUCUUCACCGACAAGAACAGGAAAUGGAGGGCCUGAAAUCAACAAUGAAGAACAUGGAGAAGCAAAUAAGGCAAAUCGCCCAAUCCAUGUCCACAAUGGCCAAGGGCGGAUUUCUGAGCAAUGCCGAAGUCAAUCCAAAGGAAAGCUGUCAAGCCAUAACCACCCGAAGUGGUUUGCAAAUGACUGAUCCUCCUUAUCUGACAGACGAAUCACCAAAGCCAGCUGUACAACCGACCCCGGUCGAGCCAGAAAUCACCAUCUCAGGGAGUAGUACAAAAGAGGCUAGUAAGCCCAAUAACAUUUUUUUCCCUGAUAAUCCUCAUCUUUUGAUAACUCCUAUUCCUUUUCCAGAAAGACAGAAGAAGAAGAAGUUCAAGGAUCAAUUGAAGAAGUUCAUUGAAAAGAUCAAGCAGAUUCGAAUCAACAUCCCUUUUGCAGAAGCCUUGGAGGUAAUGCCAAACUACACCAAGUUCAUGAAGGAAGUCCUAUUCAAGAAAAUUCGAAUCGAAGAAGACAUACCAGUGACACUCACGGCAACUUGUAGUGCCAUUCUUCAGUCGAAUCUACCACCGAAAAUGAAAGAUCCAUGGAGUUACACUAUUCCAUGUAUUACUGGAAAUUCUACUUUCGAUAAAGCUUAAUGUGAUUUGGGGGCAAGUAUUAAUUUGAUGCCUAUGUCUGUGUUUCUAAAACUGGGCUUACGAAAUUUGAACCGCACUCGCAUGACUUUACAACUAGCUGAUCGUUCAUUGAAAUACCCUGAUGGGAUUGUAGAAGAUGUGCUAGUUAAAGUAGAUAAAUUCAUUUUGCCUGUUGAUUUUGUGGUACUUGAAAUGCCUGAAGAUGAUGAAGCACCAAUCAUUUUAGGUCGUCCAUUCUUAGCCACUGGUAAGGCGAUGAUUGAUAUGGAAUUAGGAUCUUUAAUGCUUAGGGUAAAUGGGGAAGAAGUUGUUUUUAAUUUGACAGAUGCAUUUAAACACAUGGGUCAGUCCGGUGCAGGUUGUGCCAAAAAGAGGUGGGAUGACGGUUAUUGUGAAUGAUAAAAAUGAACUUAUUCCGUCUAGAAUAGUCACUUGGUGGCGUGUGUGUUUCGAUUACCGAUUAUUGAAUGUUGCCACUAGAAAAGACCAUUUCCCCCUUCCCUUUAUCGAUCAAAUGCUAGACAGGCUAGGAGGUUUCGAGUAUUACUGUUUUCUUGAUGGUUAUUCGGGGUACAAUCAAAUUUCAAUCGCCCCGGAAGACCAAUAGAAAACUACUUUUACUUGCCCCUACGGUACUUUUGCAUUUCUUAAGAUGCCUUUCGGUUUGUGUAAUGCACCUGCUACCUUUCAACGAUGUAUGAUGUCUAUUUUUCAUGAUAUGGUAGAAGAAUUUCUUGAGGUGUUUAUGGAUGAUUUUUCUAUGUUUGGAUCCUCUUUCGAUCAUUGUGUGCACAAUCUAGAACUUGUUUUAAAAAGAUGUACAAAAAUGAACCUUGUAUUAAAUUGGGAAAAAUGUCAUUUUAUGGUUCGUGAAUGUAUUGUUCUAGGUCACAAGGUCUCGAAAAAGGGUCUUGAGGUGGACAGGGCAAAAAUCGAAACGAUUGAAAAAUUGCCUCCACCGAAAGAUGUCAAGGGGGUUAGAAGUUUUUUGGGGCAUGCUGGGUUUUACCGUAGAUUUAUUAAAGAUUUUUCGAAAAUAGUAAAACCAUUAUGUCAUUUGCUUGAGAAGGAAGUCGUCUUUGAUUUUGAUUCUGCUUAUUUGCAGACUUUCACAUUUCUCAAGGAGAAGCUAACCCAAUCACCGAUUAUGAUUACUCCCAAUUGGGUGGAACCAUUCGAGAUCAUGUGCGAUGCGAGCGACUAUGCUGUAGGUGCAGUAUUGGGACAAAGGAGGGACAAAAUCUUCAAAGCCAUCUACUAUUCGAGUCGUACACUUGACCAGGCACAGAAGAAUUAUUCAACGACCGAAAAGGAAAUGCUUGCUGUCGUUUAUGCCGUUGACAAGUUCAGACCGUAUAUUUUGGGGUCUCAAGUGAUCAUUUAUACCGACCACGCAGCUAUUCGAUACUUGUUCGCGAAGAAGGACGCCAAGCCCAAACUCAUCAGAUGGGUACUCCUACUCCAAGAGUUCGACCUAGAAAUCAGAGACAAAAAGGGGAGCGAGAAUGUGGUAGCAGAUCAUCUUUCCAGACUCAUACUAGAAGAAGUUCCAGCCGAAGGAAAUAUUCAGGAAUCCUUCCCAGACGAGCAACUCCUCGCCAUUAGUACUCACACUCCGUGGUAUGCUGAUGUGGCCAACUUCUUGGCCAGUGGAAUCAUUCCUGACGAUCUAUCUUAUCACCAAAAGAAAAAAUUCCUUCACGACAGUCGUUUCUAUCUAUGGGACGAGCCGUUGCUUUUCAGAACCGGCCCCGCUCGUGUUAUCCGAAGAUGUGUUCCGGAAACAGAAGUACGUGAGAUUCUCACACAUUGCCACUCUUCACCUUGUGGCGGGCAUCACGCGGAAUCUCACACAGCCGCCAAGGUUCUGCAGUCAGGCUUCUUUUGGCCAACCCUUUUCCGUGAUAGUUACGAGUUCGUGAAACGGUGUGAUCGAUGCCAAUGAACAGGGAACCUAUCCAACAAAAGCCAAAUGCCUUUGAACAACAUGCAAGAGGUGGAACUUUUCGAUGUUUGAGGCAAAGACUUCAUGGGACCAUUCCCUUCUUCGAACGGGAAGUUAUACAUUCUACUUGCCGUGGACUACGUGUCCAAAUGGGUCGAAGCGAUUGCCACCACUGCCAACGAUGCUCGUACGGUCCUCAAAUUCUUCCACAAGAACAUAUUCUCAAGGUUUGGGACACCUAGGGCGAUCAUUAGCGAUGAAGGAUCUCACUUCUGCAACAAACUGCUCACUAAUCUCACGAACAAGUUGUGGAUCCGACACAAAAUUGCGCUUGCCUAUCAUCCACAAACAAAUGGCCUUGCUGAAUUGUCAAACCGAGAAAUCAAACAGAUUCAGGAGAAGACCGUGAGCAUGAACCGAAAAGAUUGGGCGUUGAAGCUCGAUGAUGCACUUUGGGCCUAUCGAACCGCAUUCAAGACACCGAUUUGGAUGUCUCCGUACAAACUCGUGUUUGGGAAAGCGUGCCACCUGCCAGUGGAAUUGGAGCACCGAGCUUAUUGGGCAGUCAAAAAGCUCAAUUUCGAUCAAACAGCCAUCGGCGAUCGUCGAUUGCUUCAACUCAACGAAAUGGAGGAGUUCAGAAACGAUGCUUACGAGAAUGCCAAGAUUUACAAAGAAAAGACGAAAAAGUGGCGUGACAAAAGGAUUACAAAGCGAGAGUUCCGGGCAGGUGACCAAGUCCUUCUAUUCAAUUCUCGGCUACGACUAUUUCCGGGAAAGCUCAAGUCCCGUUGGUCAGGACCAUUCGUAGGCCUGAGCGCAACCCCACAAGGAGUUAUCGAAAUACGAGGACGAGACGGUCCGUCGUUCAAAGUGAAUGGGCAACGAGUUAAGCAUUACUAUCCAAAUGGUGCUCCCGAGGAAGUGGAGCGUGUCGCACUAAUUUUCUCCCAAUAAAUCCAAAAGAAGUCGAGCCGUCGACUGUAAAACAGGCGCUAAAUGGGAGGCACCCCAUUAAUGCUCAUUCUCUGUCAUUUUUCUUUUGUUCUUGCUUUCGUUUUUGUUUUUAGUCUUUUCUUGCAUUUUUAUAUUUUUUGGGUUCAAUAUCUCCAUCUCACCCAUUUAAAUUUCAAAUUUUGUGCAGAUUACAAGAUCCAGUUCGCGAUCUAGAAAGUGGGAUCGCCAUCUGGGGGUCUUACAGAGAAGAAAUUGAGGUAAAUCCAGAUCGCAAUCCAGAAAGCCGGAUCGCGAUCUGGGGGUCUGACAGAGAGCAAAUUGGGGUCAGAUCCAGAUUGCGAUCCAGAAAGUGGGACCGCGAUCUGGGGGGUCUGACAGAGAGCAAAGUGGGGCAAAUCCAGAUCGCGAUCCAGAAAGCCGGAUCGCGAUCUGGGGGGUCUUAUCGAGAGCAAAUAGGUAGCGGACCCAGAUCGCGAUUCGGCUCUUCUAGAUCACGAUCUGGGGAAAAAAAAAAACUGUACUUAAUCGAAAAAAAAAACCCUCUUUUUCUCACUUCUUUCUUUUACAAAACUCGAAACCCCUUUCCCCCAACCCUAGAACUUCGAUUUUCUUUCAAAUUUCCUCUUCAAACUUGCAUAUUCUUAGAUUUUCAUCAACUAUUAACGAUUAUUGCUUGCUUAUAUUGAGAAUUGUGGACGAAUCUUCAACAAAGGUAUGUUCCUGACCCAAAUUUUUAAGUUUUGCUUGAAAAUUCGAAUUUCAUCCAAUUUUCUUGUUUUGUCCCUUGGUUCUUCAAUUCUUAUUGCUUGUACGUAAUUAGGUACUUGAUUUUGGGAUUUAAAGACUUGUUUAAUUGGUUGAACCAAUGUUUAGAUAUAGGAAUUGCCCUAUUAUGCUUAAUUUCGAAUUUCUUGUGAAUUUUUUAAUGGGUCGAGUCAUAUUAUGCUAAUUUUUGCUCGUUGAUCGUUAUUAAUUGUUGUUGUUGUGGUGAUUGAUAUAGGAGGGUUAAUUUUCGAAAGAAACUAACAUUCAAGGAGUUUCAAAGAACUUGUGCACGCCAAGUGUUCGAUGAAUUGUCCGAACCAAUUUCAAGUUUCAUUUUGCACCCUCAUUCACACCAUGACUUCACCGGCAAACAAACUCCAAAAGACGGGCGAGAGUUCCAAAAAAUCCCAACCGAAUGGCGAAGGAAAAGCACCGGAAAAGAAGAAGGGCAAGGCUCAAGCAAAAAGAGGGGAGAAGCUCUUCACUCUCGCCUUCACAUUCGGAGGGACCAACCGAGCAAGCCAUGCCAAGAACCGGUGACGUGCCACACAACACGGGCGCCCGUGCCAAUCAACGCAUGCUCGUGAGCGAAGUCACCUUUGACAAACACGAUGAAGACAUCUAUGUGAAUGUCGAAGCCAAGAGCGAAUUUAUCGACCGCCUCCCUCGUCCGAUCGUCCCAGAACGUGAGUUGUGUGUCCGUACGAUUGGAUGCCCCUCGGUCGUCGACAACAUCCACGAAAGGUGGUGGAGAGCACUCGUCGACAAACCAGGCACCUACAACGAGAACUUGGUCCGGCUCUUCUACGCCAAUGCCGGUCAGUACAAAGGCUCGGUGGUUUUCAUCCGGGGCGUCGAAGUUCGUUAUGACGGAGAAGCCAUCAACCGAGUCUACAAGCUUAUCCCCCCCCCGUGUUCCAGACAUUCCGACCGAGCCGUUCCAGGCACUGAAGAUGGAGACGACGUACAAGGACCUCAUUCAGACCCUGUGCCCCCGAGGAUCGUAUUGGGCAUCAGGAGAUAAGUCGUUCUAUCGAGCCGAGCUCUCUCGAGAGGCAAAGAUUUGGAUGUAUUUCGUCUACUCCCGACUCAUGCCGACGGUUGCAACGGCCAAGCCCUAUGCCACUCGCCUCACGUUGAUAUACGCAAUCAUGAAGGGCACCUCUCUGAACGUGGGUGCCAUUAUCCACUCAGAGAUUCGACGGUGCAUGGGCGACACCUCUUUGGGCCCGAUGUUCCCCUCCCUCAUCACCACCUUAUGCAAAAAUGCCAACGUGGCGAUGUUUGCCGACGAAAAGGUCACAAAGGCUCCGAAGCCAAUCUUCCCGUUCGACAAGCUCCAGCCAGCUUCCGGUCCACAGGGCGAGGGCGAUGGCCCUGAGCCAGACGCGCCACCAUCCGAGGAUUCCCGACCAUCUCGAGCCGCACCACGAGGCGGAUAAAGGCAGCAGACAGCAGCAGCAGCAGCUCCGCCACUUCCGGAGUACAUGACCGAGUGGAUGGAUGCCAUGGAGGAGAACGUGGGCUUGUUCAAGAAGAUGAUCAAGGUGAUGGCAGCAGCACUCCAGUGCAGGACGGACGACGUCGUCGAGCCACGACCAUUCCCACCACGGCCUCGUUUUGACGGAGUAUCUACCUCCACCGCAGCCGCAGAAGAAGCUGCACGAGCGGCAGCCACCACCCUGGUGAGGCCCAUCUGGGAGGAGCACGAAAGUGGACUUUGAGAGGACGAGGACCAAGCUAUCGAGGAAGACCAUGACUUCUAGGGACGUUGUGUUUUCUUUCCCUUUUAUUUUUUAUUCUGCUUGUGAGCAUAGGGACUAUGCUAGAGUUUGAGUUUGAGGGUUGUUUGUUGAACCUCUUUGUUUUUGUUUUUGUUUUUAGUUCGUUUGUUUUGGGAUAAGUCGUUGGAUUGAUAUUUCGUUUACGAUGUAUCUUUGCUAGACUUUGUUUUUAUUUCAUUUUAUAUAUCUUAUUUUGAUUUGGUCUUUUGCAUGCAUAUCAUAUAAUUUAGUUUCGUUUAUGUAUUUUGAUUUCCGUAAUUGUGUUAUGUUUGUCACAUGCAUUUCAUUUAGGAUCGAGUGUAAUUUGCAUUUCCGGGUUCUAUUGAAGCAAAGCAAUUAAUGAAUUAGUAGAUGGGCUAGUUUAUUUUAAAAUUAAAAUUAUGGAUAACCGGAUAAUUAUAGAUGAACCUUCCGACUGCGUUUUUGCAACUUGUGUGGAUAGCCUUUCGAAUCCUUUCUGAUUAAGCUUGAGCGCACUUUUCUGAGGGGUAUAAUAGCCUGAGGUUUGGGGGGCGAGUUAGAAUUGAAUUAUGUGUUCACGAUUUCGAGUUGUUGGCUAAAAGUUCUAUCAAUGGUCUUUACGUUUUUAUUUUAUGUCAAAAAAAAAAAAAAAAAAAAAAAAAAAAUUUGUGAUGAAAAUCACAAUAUAUUGUUGUUGUCAUUUCUUAUUGAAUAAAUAGACCUACUUAUGCCCAACUCGAGUUUUUGAAUUUCAGAAUCAAAACUUGCUUUUCAACCACAUUUCUACUCAAAACCCUCGAUGAUUGUGUUUAUUGUUUAAUUAUGGAUUCUUGAGUCUAUCUUUCAUUUUGGUGUAGAAACAACUAAUUGCCUCGGUAGGAAAGUCGAAUACCUUAAGCCGUAUGCCAUUUUGAGAUUUUAGGUUAUCUAGCUCGUUUUAUCUUUGGAAUUAAUUGCAAUGCUUUGACCAAUCCGGCAACUUUGUGGGUGUGUUGUCUGAAAACCCUCACGAGACACAACUCGUCCUUUGGGGGUAUCUAGGGGUUCAAAGGCUUGUUGCAUACGCUAAAUGCAAUCGUGAUUCCCUACGUUAGUGGCCUAGUUUAGUUUGUUGUUUUUAUUUCCUUUUUGUUGUUGUUUCGUUUUGAUUUACUCGGGACGAGUAAAGAUCUAAGUUUGAGGGUGUGAUAAGUGUUCGUUUUGCACGAUUUUUGCUUAUCAAAUCUUCGAGUUUUGGUCUUCGUUCGUCCGAGUUUCGGCUUUAUUUGUAUAUAUUAUUGUGUUUCUUGUUUUAUUUCUAUUUUAGGGUUUUAUUAGGUAUUUUUGCCGAGUCGAAGCCAUUUGAAAGCGAAACCAAAUUUUCAAGCUAAUUUUGGGGCCAAGAAGACCCAGAUAGCGAUCUGAAAUCUCCAGAUCGCGAUCUGGGGGUUGUCACAAUACGAAAAUGGAUCAAGACCCAGAUCGCGAUCCAACAUUCUGGAUCGCGAUCUGGGGGGUCCGACAGAGCUGAAAUGAUUGAAGAUCCAGAUCGCGAUCCAGGAAGUCGGAUCGCGAUCUGGGGGGUCCGACAGAGCUGAAAUGGUUCAAGAUCCAGAUCGCGAUCCACAUUCCUGGAUCGCGAUCUGGGCACGCUUUUUGAGGAAGAUAUUUUAUUUUUCAAAGCUUCUUGAGGAAGCUUUGCAUUUCACUACAAAUAGAAAGGCCCUUUCAUUCUUCAUUCCUUCUUCGACUUUUUACGGUUUUCGACAGUUCUUUGUGGGAAUCAUCAACGGGGGUUCCGACUAGGGUUUUUCUUACGCAAUUUCUUUACGUUUUGUUCUUCAUUUCCUUUGUACAUUCUUUUGAUACUAUGUUUGUUAUGAACUAAGAACAUUUUCUUCUAGGGUAAUGAAGCCUUGUAUAUAUUGAUUUCGAUCGUCAUUUCUGUUAUCUAUUUGUCGUGUUUUGAUUUCGUUUAUGUUUUCCUGUAUUAAAUGCUUCUGAUUGUUUGAUCAGCUCUCGGAUUGAUAUUAAAUAGGAAUGAACUCGAGAGAGGAUUUCUUGUUUGAAGUUAGGAAAAUAUAGCUCGGGGUGUGGAAACGGAGACGUGAUGCACUUCGGGUAGCCCUUAAGGACUUGACCUAAAUGCCCUCUUAAUAGCAAGUUCUGAACGGAGACGUCGGACUUGUGGGUAGACUCUAACUACACUGGAGACGGGGGUUAGAGUACAUUAGAGUUUGGGUUAACGAAUAGGAAUGUGGCAUUAGAUAACGGAUUUGUAGAUCGUUGUUGAUUAUACAUAGGUGGAUUUGGCCCUAGAAAUCCCCUUUAAAUCGAAGUCCCCCCGCGUUGAGUUGUCGUUACUUUAUUUACGUACAUUCUAUAUUUUCAUGUUUACGAUCUUGCAUGCUUUUAAAUUAGGGUUUCUCACAAUUCCAAAUAUUUACGUUCGGCUAGAUAAUAUAACGAUAAUGUAAUUACACUACUCAGCAUGUGAAUCUACAAGGUCCCUGUGGAUCGAUAUACGGAACCACUGUUCUGCAAAAUGCGAUAUUGUAUACUUGCGGUAAUUUAUACGUGAGGAAAACGCGUAUCACACACCCUGGGGAAUCUGUUCCUUUAUUGAAGCCAAUGUUUUACCGAGGGCCUUGGAGAGUUAUGAGAGGUGACGUGCUUCCAUUCAUCAAGAACGAAUAGCUAAAUGCAGCCAACACUUAGCUAUGGGUGCUUGGUUAUCAUUUGUACAUUUCCAAGAUAUAUAUGCUUAUGCAUCGUCGUAUUUGUGGCUGCCUUUUCGAGAAAAAAUGCAAUAGUUUUUUUUUUCUUCUUUUCUUAAUUCUUACUAGGAUAACUUCGACCCUUCAUGGGACGGACACCAUCUUUGCUGGUCUGUGGUUGCUUUUUUUUGUUCUGCGUCUGGAUUGAAUAGUGAAUACUAAAAGCUUAUAUUUGUAACAUUCGAAAUUGAAUAGAUCUUCGGUCAAGCUCAACUAUCUUGGAAACAAUGCUAGCAAACACACUUGACAUAUGCAGGGAUGGAUGGAUGCCUAUGAAUAUGAAUGAAUAUAUGCUCAAGGCAUCUCAAACCAACUGAAUGCACCUACAUUCAAUACAUAAAUUCACCAGUGGCGAUAAAUAUUAUUUCUUUCUAUGAUCCAAUUGAUGGACGCUCGAUAUACAAUCAAAAUUUCAAUACGAACGUUUCAUUUUCGUACAACUUGUAAGGCAUAAUCAAUCAGUCUUUGGUUAUCUGUUGUUUCAUACAACUCAGAAUACUCUUCCACAGAUGAAAUACACAUCAAACUUGCAUGAAGUACAUUAAAACUGUUUGAACACCAAUCCAACAUCAAAAUAAUUGCACAACGGAAGCAAAAAAGCAUCUCCAUAUCAGAAAAGAUGCAGGAAAGAGAGAAAAAUACGGAGUUGUAGAAUCGAGGACUUGAUACAAAGAUGCAGAAUAAGAUGUUACAGUCUUAUUGACAAGCUCAAUGAUUAGUUGUAAUUGACAGAGCAGUACAAAUAGGAAAUACAGAUGAACAACAACAGCGAAACUCGAGAAAAACAAGAAUUGCAGUUAUUCAUGAUCAUCAUAAAUAAUAAUUUGCAAGAUCGAAUCUACAGUUGCAAUAAUUUAAUCACAUAUCAAUGAACUGCAGUUAUUCAUUGAUGAAAUUAAAUCGAUAGUUAGAUAGUUGCUAACUUUUUAUUUCAAAAUAAAUAAAUAAAAAACUUACGAAUUGCCUAGUCUUGCUAGUCCCGUGGACCACUAAAUUAUUCAUGUUUCCAAUCAAAUACGCGGUGAGUCCUAAAUUGAAGAGCAUGUAGAAAAUAUCGAAUAUCAUUUCUCUCGUACUUUCUGCAUGCAAAUCUCCAUAGCUGACGGUGGUUAGUGUAGUGAUGGACCAGUAAAUCGAAGUAACGUAGCGGACCCACAAGCUCUGCUGAAGGAAAUCGUGCGUGGAUGCUCCGAUCCACGUGUUUUGUGGAUUUCAAUAAUGUGCUGCAAGUAGGUAAUAAAAGCAACCUGCACAAUGUACUGCAAAAAGUGUAACCUACAGACACACAAAAAAUUUUAAAAAAAUCAAGAACUCGAAUUCGAAUUCGAAUUCAAAUUCGUAUUUCUCUAAGCUGCAUUUACAUAAUGAAUUUAUAUAACGAAUUUAUAAAGGACUUACGCAUAUAAGCUUCUCACACCGAACCCAAAAGUAGUUGAAGUUUCUAUCUUUCUCCAAUCUGUUUUUUUUUUUUUUUUUUUUUUGAAGAAAUAAAUAAUCGAUUAUAAAAAAAGAUUAAAACAAAUAAAGAAAUAUUGAAAAAGAAUGAAUUUUUUUUUUUACCGAGUGAAUAAGGCACCGACUCGUCUAAGCCGCCAAAGACGAAGCAUGUUGAAUAAGCCGUAAGUUCGUAACGGUUUAGGGGAGAUUUUUUGAGCUAGUUCCGAAGGGAUUGUAGAAAUAACAUCAAAUGCUAACCAAGAAGUAGUGUAUUUCCAAGCGAUUUUCUUUGGAUUGUCGACUAGAAGAUACGUACUCCGAUCCAAGAAAGCUAUGAAAAAUGUUAGGAUUAUAUCAACGGCGAAAAACCCGUUGACAAUGUUGUCCAUUAUCGACAACGGCCCUCUCGGUUUAUCGAGAAACCCGAAUUCAAAAGGCGAAGCCCAAGCGGUGUAGAUUACUAGGAUGACCAGAAAUGCCUCCCAUGCUCUGUGAAAAUUUAAUUCAAUAUAACAAAUUAAAUAGAAUUCAUUAAUUGCAAUAGUUAUCUAGAGAGAUUAAAUAAAUGUGUGUUCAUAUAUACAAGUUGAUGAUCCAUGCUUUUUUCAAGAAUCUUUUUUUCAAGAAAGUCUUCGGAAAUUGAAUUUAUUGAAUGUAAGAACAUUACAUUGACAACAUUAGUUAAUAAAAUAAAAUAAAAAAACAUGUCCCACCAUCAAGAAUGAAUAGCUAAAAGCAUCCACAACUUAGCUAUCGGUGCUUGGUUAUCAUUUGUACAUAUCGAAGAUAUAUAUGCUUAUGAAUCGAGAUUCGAGGUGCUUGAUUUAACUACUGGAUUUGUUCAGCAUCGUCGUAUUCGUGGCUGCCUUUUCAAGAAAAAAUGCAAUAGUUUUUUUAUUUUCGUUUUUCUUUUUUGUUUCUUAAUUCGUACUAGGAUAACACGACCCUUCAUGGGACGGACACCAGCUUUGCUGGUCUGUGUUUGGCUUUUUUGUUCCGCGCCGGGAUUGAAUAGUGAAUACUAAAAGCUAUAUUUGUAACACUCGAAAUUGAAUAUAUCUUUUGUGUGAUCUUCGGUCAAGCUCAACUAUCUUAGAAACAAUGCUAGCAAACGCACUUGACCAAUGCAGGGAUGGAUGCGUAUGAAUAGGAAUAUAUGCUCAAAGCAUCUAAAACCAACUGAAUGCACCAAUGGCGAUGAAGAUUCUUUCUGUCUACGAUCCAAUUGAUGGACGCUCACUAUACAAUCAAAUUUCAGUAUCGACAGACGGCUUAAACUAAACGAACAUUUCAUUUUCAUACAACUUGUCACGCAUAAUCAAUCAGUCUUCGAUUAUCUGCUAUUUCAUACAACUCAGAAUGCUCUACCAGAGAUGAAAUACACAUCCAACUCGCAUGAACUACUUUAAAAUUGUUUGAACACCAAUCCAAGACAAAAUAAUUGCAUAAUGGAAGCAAAAAAAACAUCUCCAUAUCCGAAAAGACGCAGCAAACAGAGAAUAUACGGAGUUGUAGAAUCGAGGACUCGAUGCAAAGAUGAAGAAUAAGAUGUUAUAGUCUUAUAGACAAAGCUCAAUGAUCAGUUGUAAUUGACAAGUAGUACAAAUAGGAAAUACAGAGGAACAACAACAGCAAAACUCGAGAAAAACAAAAAUUGCAGUUAUUCAUUGAUCAUCAUAAAUAAUAAUUUGCAAGAUCGAAUCUACAGUUGCAUUAAUCUUAAUCCCAGAUCACCGGAAUUCGAAUCGUGAAUAGCCAGAGGUUUAUUCGUGUUUUCGGUACUUUAUCUUUUUCAGCCAGAGUGACAGUAAAAUACCCGAAAAUCACACUUGGGCGAAACUGCCUUCAACACAAGCCUUGCAGUAUCUUCAUGCCUGACCUUAGCACCUUCCUUCUCCACCGAAAUUACAGAAUUGACGGCAUUUGGGGGCAAUAGAUCCAGCCAAUUGUCGUGUUGAUUGAGCAGAAGCCAGCAUUCGUGAUCGAGCAAAUCGUGCGGGCCGAACGGAUUGGGUAAAAAUUUGGAUAAGGGUUUGCGAUUCUCUACAUGGUCAAUGUUCUGAGCGCAAUUCUCUUCAUUGAUGACGAGGAUUUGGACGGAGGAGCAGUGGCGGAGUUCCUGCAGGAACUCGCGGAAAUGGCCGCACGGGGCGGAGGAGACGGCGAAGGAGAGGAGGCGGCGGCAGCGGUGGACGGCGAGAUUCGUGAGGAGGAACUGCUCCGCGUGGACGGAGUGGUGGAGCGGCAGGCCGGGGAAUUCGAGAUUGACGCCGACGAAUACGCGGCUGUCGGAGCCGAGACCGACGGCGCCGACAUUGAAAUUGGAGAUUGGGGGCCGGGCCAAGGCCUGCGCGGAGUGGACGAGGUGGGGGAGGAGGUGGAGCACGGAGGGGAGGUUCAGUGAUUCGGCAAUAGAUUCCGCAACCGAGGCUUCUAUCACGAAUUGAUUUGCAGAGAGAUGGAUCUGAUUCAUUGUUGUGUGACUGUGUGUGGGAAAUUGAAGGUCGGAAGAGAAUCAAUGGAGGUUUUCUGGCGGGGGGAGGGGAAUUUGGGAAGUGGUGGUGGUGGGGUAUUUAUAAGGCUGAGAUUCGGUGGUUGCAUUUCAUAAACACAGCUUUUGCUAACAUGCGCCACAUGAUUCCUUUUUUGACCUUUUCGUUUCCCUAUUAGUUGUAGAAAUUUAAAAUAUGAUAGCAAAUAAAUUAUUAAAUAAAUAUCAUGUUAUAAUACGGGGUAAAUGGCAAAUAGGCCAAUGACAAGGGGGCACUUAAUCCAACUUUUUUGUCUUUCAAAUAAAUUCAGUCCAUUCAAACUUAUUUGCAAAUAAGGAAAAUCUUUUUAUAUAUACUAAAAUUACCUCAAUUCAACUCCAAUUUCAUGAUUUUUACAUCACAAUUUAGCCAAAUUUCAUCAAUUAACCAAUUUUAACCAUAAUUUUAAUUUUGACCCCAAUUUUGAUCCGCCACCACUGGAGACUGCCUGACUUUUUUUUUUUUAAUAUAAUUUUGUUUUUUCUUAAAAAAAAUAUUUUAAUUAAUAUUACUGUCUUGGCUGCUAAAUUACUGUCACCGGCAGUUAUUUAACUGUCGGAGACAGUAAUUUAACUGUUAAUUGACUUUUUUUUUGUUUUUUUUUUUCGAAAAUAUUUUAAUUAAUAUUACUGUAUUCUAAAUUACUGUCUCCCGCAGUUGUUUAAUUGUCGGAGACAUUAAUUUAACUGUUAGGUGAUUUUUUUAUUCUUAAAAAAAAUAUUUUUAAUUAAUAUUACUGUAUUCGUUGCUAAAUUACUGUCUCCAGCAGUUAUUUAACUGUCGGAGACAGUAAUUUAACUGUUAAUUGACUUAUUGAGAAUCCACACUUUAACCUAUAGCAUAAAAGCUUAUACGUGAAGAAACAAAAUGAUUGAAGCAAAAUUAAAUACAGAAAGUUGCCUUGCAAUGUCAAUUCACAAUUAUGAAUUAUAUACCGAAAUUAGCAUUUCAACAUAGUUUACUGCCAGAAAUCAUAUUCUUUCCAACCACACUUUGAGCUACUUGCAGAUGUGCAGAUUCACCAGAGAAUCAAACUUCAGUACCACAUCACCCAACCUAAUUACUAUGCAGAAGCACAACUUACCUAUACUUCAAAGCCGUGAAAUUGAGAGUAUAAAACGAGAAAUUAGACCUGGUAGGUGUUGAGGGCGUCGGCGAGGGAGUGGAGAGAGGGGGAGUUGCAGGACACGGCUGAGGGAUUGGCCAUCCUGAUACGAGACGGCUUCGGAGAAUCGUGUUAGGUGCUUACAUAUGCUGCCAUUUUCAGCAACAAUUUCACUCGGCGGUGCUUCGGCAGGGGAAAUUGGGCUUGGCCAUACGACGUCGUUACGGAGGAAACCGGGUUUUAUGUUUCGUCAUAUGGAGCGGGUACGGGUUUUUUUGUGUGGCUCCGAUUGGUCCACUAAUAUUGGGCCGUUGCCCAAUCAAUAUGCAUAGGUCUUGUAAGGCAUUGUUUUGUGAACUUAUUAUUAGAUUUAACAAUUUUUUUUUUAAAUGUUUGGAUUUUUUAUAUAUAUAAUUAAUCACAUCAAAAUAAAGGAUAACAUGGCAAACUACGACCACCCACGAGAGAAGGUCAAAUUACGGAAAAAAACCUUGUUAUUUGUACACAAAUUGUGGGGUAAGAAAUUCAUACCAAAAUAACCGAAUUACCAAAAUUUUAUUAAACAUAUUUAAAAUUUUGAUUUUUUGAUUUUUUUUUAAUUAAUUUUAGUUUAAAUACUAAUAUUGCAUAGAAUAAAACUGAAUAUAAUAAUUUUCGUUAUGUUCGAUUCAAUCGAUUUAUGGGCUCAAUGAACAUCCCUAGAUAAAUUAGACGUCGUAAGAAAGGACAAUAUAUAUUUGAUGGGGGAUUGUAAUUAUGCACACAGUAAGGAUUUUUCCGCGAUUUAUCCAAAUGAUAUGCUAUUUACAGUCACGAAAUCGCUAUUUGCGUUUUAUAACAAAAUCCCCCAAAACUUUUAAAAAUAUCCAAAAAAAAAGAAAAAUUCGAAAUCAAGCUUGAAGAAGGGUUGGGCUUCAAUUUUUUAUGUAAUUUCGACUCUUUUAUGUGUAAUAUGCAUUGGGUAGGUCGAUUACAGAAGCAAUUUCAUGUUAAAAAGCCCUACAAAUCGAUUUGUAUGGAUUUUUUUUUUCGCAAAAAAAUGUUCGAACGCCCAAGAUGGGCAUUCAGACGUGUACGAAAGCCCAUCUUGGGAGUUCAAAAAAAAUUGCACUGGACGCCUAACUCGGGCGCCCAAAUGCAUCUUGCACGCCCAACUUGGACGUUCACUGCAUGAAUGGGCGCCCAAGUUGGGUUUUUACGCGUUUUGGGGGGGGGGGGGUUUGGAUUUUUUUGGGAAAUUGUGGGGUGUUAGAGAGAUAAAGUGUUUUUCAGAGGGUUUUGUUAUAAACUGCAAAUAGCAAUUCAAUAACAUAAGUUUUCAUCUACCUACCCACUUGGCGGAGAGCAUCUCCACCAACCAACCACCGUCAGCUGUCAUUUCCUCCAGUUCACUACUUUCCGACGCAGCACAGAGGGAAAACCCCAACUUUCAAAAGUUCAAAAAUCUAGAUUCCCCCUAAUUCUACAGAAAAAAAAAAACCAUCUUCAUCGUUGAACCUCUGACCUAACCCCAGAAUCUCGGAGCGUUUCUUCAAUUCAGUUCACAUGGCUUCCAAUUCAGCACUCAUCUUCACCCGAAACGAACAAAAGCCAAUGCCGAUCUCAACUAAAGAAGAAGAAGAAGCAGAAAACGAGCUUCCGAUUUCGAAUUCAUCCUCCAAAUCCGCCCUUUUACCCUCCACCCCUUACGAAAAACCCCUCUUCCAAAACCCCUCGCAAACCAGUAACCACCACACUUCUCUUCGUCUGCCUCGUCACCUCCACCUGCUUCUCUCUCUCCGCCGCCGUCGCCUUCGCCUUUCUCUUCUUCUCCGCCGCCGACUCCCUUUCCACCACUUCGGUCUCGAGAUCUCUCUUGAAGCUCAAACACCCAGUUGUUCUACUGAUCUCUUCCGACGGGUUCAGAUUCGGGUACCAAUUCAAAACGGAUACUCCGAAUAUCGAUUGGCUGAUCCAAAACGGGACCGAAGCCGAGCACGGGUUGAUCCCCGUCUUCCCAACGUUGACUUUCCCCAACCACUACUCCAUUGUCACUGGCUUGUACCCAGCUUACCACGGCGUUAUCAACAACAAAUUCUCCGAUCCCGUAACCGGCGAAAAAUUCAACAUGGGCAGCCACGAGCCGAAGUGGUGGCUGGGCGAGCCGCUUUGGGAGACCGUAGCGAAUCACGGCUUGAAGGCUUCGACUUACUUCUGGCCUGGCUCUGAGCUGCACAAGAGCUCAUGGGAUUUCCCCUGUAUGUUUUACAACGAAUUCGUACCGUUCGAUGACAGGGUCGAUACCGUAUUGAACUACUUCGAUUUGCCGAGCGAUGAAAUCCCUUCGUUCAUGACGCUGUAUUUCCAGGAUCCCGAUCACCAGGGUCACCAGGUGGGGCCCGACGAUAAACAGAUUACUGAAGCGGUUGCUAAUAUAGAUAGAUUGAUCGGAAGAUUGAUAACCGGUUUGGAAGAGAGAGGGAUCUUUUAGGAUGUCCAUAUGAUUAUGGUGGGUGAUCAUGGCAUGGUUGGCACUUGUGAUAAAAAGAUGAUCUUUUUAGACGAUUUGGUUAAUUGGAUCGAUAUUCCGACGGAAUGGGUUCAGUCUUACACUCCAUUGCUCGCGAUUCGCCCACCGGCUAAUUAUUCUUUGGCUGAUGUUGUGGAUAAGAUGAACGAGGGUUUGAAGUCGGGUAAAGUGAAUAACGGCGAGUAUUUGAAGGUUUAUUUAAAGGAGGAUUUGCCGAGUAGAUUGCACUAUUCGGAUAGUUACAGAAUCCCACCGAUUAUUGGGUUGGUGGAAGAAGGGUUUAAGGUGGAGCAGAAGAAUUCGAAGAUUCAAGAAUGUGGAGGUGCCCAUGGUUACGACAAUGCGUUUUUUUCGAUGAGGACUAUUUUUAUUGGCCAUGGACCGGAAUUUGCUGUCGGUAAAAAGAUUCCGUCUUUCGAGAAUGUUCAUAUACAAUUUGGUUACUGCGAUUUUGGGCAUUGAUGGAGCUGUCAAUAACGGGACAUCCUCGUUUCCGAAGGGUGUUCUUUUGCCUAGUAGUUGAAAUGCGUUUAUCAAUUUCCUCAAUAAAGUGGAACUGCUUCCGUACUCUACGAGUUUGUUCGACGAGACUAGGUAGGUAACUACCGUCACUUUCUUGUUGUGUAGUAUGUUCUGUAUUCGUAACCCUUUUUAACCACAAGAGAUAAUUCUACAUCACCCGGCCGGUGAGUGGUUCAAUCUGUAAUUGUAAUUGUAAUCUACUUGUUCAACUGGUUAUCCUUUAUUCAAAGAGAUAUUUAGUGUGUUUUAUCAAACUGUCGAGAUAAACGACAGUUGAAGCGAAAAUCGUGUUAGGUACUGAGGUGAUUUUCCGGUGAGUUUAAGGCUUUCCUUAUUCCCCUUCAAUGGAGAUUGGCUUCUGGUUAGUGAGAAUGCAUAAACCAUUGGUAUAUAAUGCCCCGGCUAACAUCGAUAUAUUACAUGUGAAAAUCGAUGUGAGAUAACAUCCUUUGCAGAAAAAUAAUUAGUAAUCGAAAAUUAUAAAGAAGAAGAAUGGAAUAAAAAAAUUGUUCCAGAAACGAACUUUUUUAUAUUAGAAUUCGAGAAUCUCAUUUUGUUGUUCACUUAUAAAAUACAUAACAAAUAUAAAAUAAAGAUAUAAUUUUUUUUGAAAAUUAAAAUUUGGUCGAAAAUUGGAAUUUCAUUAUAUUCCAAUUACAAUCCCAAAAAAACAAAUCUGAAAAUUUGUUUUGAAAUCGUAAAUUUAUAAUCUGCGAAAGGAACUACACCAAAAAUCCACACAAUGUAAGUAACUAGGUGUAGCAUCUAACGUGCACGUGUAAAAUAAUCCUAGAGAACUUCAAAUUAUUGAAAUUGAAAUUUCCCUUCCCUAUUUAAAACGUGAGCGACAGAGUGAAAAACAUAUGCUCCAAACCCUAUUAUGUUUAGCUAUUUCCAUGUCCAAACACACCCCUUCGUGUUGAUUUCAAUCUCCAAAAUUGUAUGUUCAUUUCUUCACAAACCAUGGACAUGGCUUCUGAUUCACUAUCCAUCUUAACCCGAAACGAACACAAACCAUUGCCAAUCUCAACAGUACUGAAACGAGAACAACCCGAUCGCUCAAAUUCAACCUCAAAGCCAUGUUCCUUCAUCUCUCUCGUUAUCUCCACCUCCGUCACUCCCUCUGCAACCAUAGCCCUCGCCUUUCUCUUCUUCUCCGCCUCAACCGCCACCUCAUUAUCAGUCAACCCCGUUUCCACUGACCAUCAUUCGAUCUUGAAAUCUCUCUCGAAGCUCAAACACCCCGUCGUUAUACUAGUUUCCUUCGACGGGUUCCGGUUCGAGUACCAAUACAAAACGGAUACUCCGAACAUCGACCGGCUGAUAAAAAACGGAACCGAAGCUGAGCUAGGACUAAUCCCCGUUUUCCCAACCUUAACUUUCCCCAACCACUACUCCAUAGCCACCGGCUUGUACCCAACUUCCCACGGCAUCAUCAACAAUAAGUUCACCGAUCCGACCACCUGAGAGCAAUUCACCCUCCGAAGCCGCGAGCCGAAGUGGUCGCUCGGCGAGCCGCUCUGGGAGAGGGCGGCUAACCACGGCUUGAAAGCCGCCACUUAUUUCUGGCCCGGCUCGGACGUGAAAAAGUGUUCUUGAAUUUUCCCAAAGGACUAUUGCAUGUUGUACAAUAGUUCCGUCACUUUUGAAGAGAGGGUCGACACUAUUUUGAACUACUUCGAUUUGUCUAGCGACGAAAUUCCGUUGCUAAUGGCGUUGUACCUCGAGGACCCUGAUAGUCAGGGCCACGAAGUGAGCCCCAACGACCCUAGGGUUACGGAAUCCGUCGCCAAUGUCGAUAAAUUGGUCGGAAGAUUGAUAACCGGUUUGGAACAAAGAGGAAUCUUUGAGGAUGUGCAUAUUAUUAUGGUGGGUGAUCACGGCAUGGUUGGCACGUGCCACAAGAAGUUGAUAUUCUUAAACGAUCUUCUUAAAUGGAUCGACAUUCCAUCGGAGUGGGCUCAAUCCUACACUCCGUUGCUUGCGAUUCGCCCGCCGGCCAAUUAUUCGGCGGCAAAUGUCGUCGCUAAAAUGAACGAGGGCUUGAAAUCGGGUAACGUGACUAACGGCGAGUAUCUAAGGGUUUACUUGAAGGAAGAUUUGCCUAGUAGAUUGCACUAUUCGGACAGCGAGCGGGUCCCACCGAUUAUCGGGUUAGUGGCGGAAGGGUUUAAGAUAGAGCAGACGAAUUCGGGAAUUCAAGAGUGUGCAGGUGCACACGGAUACGACACCGCGUAUUUUUCGAUGAGGACUAUAUUUAUUAGGCAUGGACCAAAAUUUGCAAAGGGUAAAAAGAUUCAAUCUUUUGAGAAUGUGGAGAUUUAUAAUUUGGUUACUAAAAUACUAAAGAUGAAAGGAGCUUCCAAUAAUGGGACCAAGUCUUUUGCAAAGGAUGUUCUUUUGCCUAGCCGUUGAAUUUAUAAUUUUAAGUUAUGUUUCUCUUGAUCUUCUUCUUCCUUCUCUACGUUGAGUAAUUUGUUUUUUAGAUAAUAUGUUCAAUUAAAGUGUUGAAUUUCGAAUUCAUACUAACAAUUUUACUAAGCUUUGUUUAGAUUUGAUCAAUUUAAUUAUAAAAAAAGAAACCUAAUUUAAAAUGAAUACACAUGUUCUUGCCAUGUGACAUGCAUGUAUAAAAAAAACCAAGAAAUCUUAAAAUAAUUAUAAGAUUGGUUCUCCAUAAAAUAUUGUCUAUUGAUUAUUACUUCCUCCAUUUCUAAUUAAUUGUCAUUUUUCAGCCUUAUCAAAGUAUUAAGAAUCUAAAUAAACGUGUUUUGAUUUUAUGAAAAAAUACUAAAAUAACCUUGAAUUGAUAAGUUCACUAUUCGGAGUUGAAUUAAUAAAGUUAAAAUAGAAAAAAGAAUUAUGUUAUGCAUAAUUGAAUAUCUAAAAUGACAGAUAAUAUGAAUACAUUUAAAAAAAAAAAAGAUUGUUAGUAUGAAAUAAAUGGAGUAGUUGCAUGUGCCACGUAUAAAAAAUUAUGGAAAUUUGAAAUUAGUGAAUAAACUAUAUAUGUUCCUAUUAAGUAUUGGUUGAGCCCUGCCCGCAUGGGUGUAGCUCAACUGGUUCCGGAGGUGGUAAGUUGGAGCAAGGUCCUAGGAUCGAAUCCUGGCAGCCGCAGUGUGGGAAUUUCAACUCCAAUGAGAUUGGUUCCUUGUGGGCACCAGGUCCGGGUCCGCUACCUUAACGGGCCGUUGAGUUACCAUGAUUUACAUUCCUCCAUCAAUCCUUGUCGGGCCAAGGGAUGGGGGCCCUGGGGGCGAGGGAUUUCGCCUUUUGGAGCAAGUAUUGGUUGAGCCCAAAGGCCAACUCUACUUAAAAACAAAUUUUAAAUUAAUAAUCCGUAAAAACAUUUUUUAAAUUACAUAGUAUAUUUUUUAUAGAUCCAUGAAUACUUUAAAAAAUACAAAAUUAAGAUUUUCGCUUAAUCAAUAACUUUUUUUUUAAUUAAUAUCCAAGUAGAAUAAAGUAUUUAAUUUAGUUUAUAGGCUAAUUAGAAAAGAAAAUAGUUUAUUAGCCUAAUAAAAUUGAAAAAAAACACAUAGAAAUAGUGACUGUGUGAAGGAAGGCCCAAGAGCAAUACAAAGCCCACCCAAUCUCCCCGUUUCUUCGUUCACUACUACUCACGUUGAAUCGCCGCCGCGCAUCCCUCUCGCACGCCGCCGCCGCCGCCCUGCACGGGCAUUCACACAUGGAAACUUAAAAUUAGUACGGUUCCUUUGAUUUUUCAGCUGUUAGAAGCUUGAAUUGAUUACACUGAGUCAACUCAACUUCAGAAUAGGUAUAAAAAAGGAGAAAUGACGAGCGAUCUGUGGAGGAAAUACGCUGACUAUGUGUACACAAAAUGGGAGAGGACGAUUCUCUGGGAUAUGAUUGAUCCAUACCGGCGGCCCAAAUCGUUCACUCCGUUAGUCACCAUCUACAUCUGUGCUUUUUAUACUAGUGUUGUAGGCGCUGUAAUCACCGAGCAGCUCCACAAGGUAAAACCUAACCACUUGUUUCUCCGACCUUUUUUCAGAUUCAAGAUGAAUUUUGGUUGGCACUAUUAAAUUUCUCUAUUGAUUUUCUUAUGAAUUAUUGAAAUUUUUUUUAUGAUCAGAGGAUUAUGUUUUUUUUUUUUUUUAAUAACUGCAAGUAUUUGAUUGGUAUGCCUCUAGUUCUAGGUCUUUUAGGUUGCUACAUGUGGUUAAAUAUUCGGGUAAAAUAGAACAAAACCCGGGUUCUGGGCAUCGAAUUGCGUAAUUGAAUUCCUUCGUUUCGUGUUUGCUGAUUUUGAACUCAAUUGAAAUCUACGAUACUAAUUUUGACGAAGAACAAGAACCACACGUGUUGUCGAUGUGUCUGUCUCUAUGCUAUUUGCUUUAUAACUUCCGUUGCAUUAUAUCUCAUAUAUCAUAUAUAUAUGUGUAUUCUGAAAUAGUUAUAAUUCGGAAUUGUGUUUUGAAAUUGAAUUCUGCUGCCUUUAUUUUAGAAGCUCUUAUUACACGAGUCUUUCAAUCUGCAAGGUUAAGCCCGUUAUCGAAAUAUGAAUGCACGCUACUUAAGAUCAUUUCCUGAAUGGUUCUCUACUGUUUAACUGUAUUAGAACAAGCGGUUGCCUAUUUUUAACACGUUAUUAUCAUAAUACCGGUACUGAAAACUGAAAAGAUUGUGGAUCAAUGGCUUCAGAGGCCUGUUCGACUAAUAUUUGUUUCGUUUUUUUUCUCUUAGGAGAAAUAUUGGGAUACACACCCUGGGGAAUCGGUUCCUUUAAUGAAGCCAAUGUUUUAUCGAGGGCCUUGGAGGGUUAUGAGAGGUGAUGUGCCUCCAUUCAUCAAGAAUGAAUAACUAAAAGCAUCCACAACUAAGCUAUCGGUGCUUGGUUAUCAUUUUUACAUAUCGAAGAUAUAUAUGCUUAUGAAUCGAGAUUCGAGGUGCUUGAUUUAACUACUGGAGUUGUUCAGCAUCGUCGUAUUCGUGGUUGCCUUUUCGAGAAAAAAUGCAAUAGUUUUUCUAUUUUCGUUUUUCUUUUUUGUUUCUUAAUUCGUACUAGGAUUACACGACCCUUCAUGGGACGGACACCAGCUUUGCGUGCAGAUAUAAAUUAUUUGUGUCAGAUUCAGUUUUUCGUUACUGUUGCGUGAAGUGUUGCAACAGUUCGUGAAACAGUUUGUAAAAACAGAAAUAAACGAGACACAAAUUUAAUGUGGUUCGGAUACAAUUGUACCCUACAUCCAUGGGGACCUGCAAAUAAAAUUUACUAAUUUUUAGUUUUACGAAUACAAUAGUAUGACUUAAUCAAAAUACAAAGACUCCCUCUUUGUUGACGCCGUUCUUGUAUACUACGCUGAAUUAUAAAUCUUCAAUUUGCAGCACGUCCCUUGCUCCGCAUGGUUGAACUCCCUUCAACGCUGAAUCCCUCAGUCGGCGGAUCGAUCUCCUCCCGAGAUCUGUUUAAGCCCCUCUCCCGAAGAACCGAUCUUCUUUUUGUAUAGAAGAAGCAAACUUGUGAUACUCGUUGAAUCUUGGUGUCUUCACCAUAAAGCCUUGAUGCUGAUAUAUUUUCUACGAAAAUCACGUAUCAUGAUGGAGCAAUAAAAACGAGAGGAAAAAAUAUUUUCUCUGAACUCUUCUCUCGAUAAAAAGGAUGCAGUAAACUACGUUCAUGCUCCUCCUUUUAUAGUCUGGGAAAACUCCUGUAUUAGGUUUCACCAAAUUAGAGACGUAGAAGGAAUUCUUUUAAAAGAUAUGGAAUAAGAGUCCAUGCCUUAUUAAAAUAUUGUCAUCCUAAUCUAAUGGGCAUUCCCAUGUAAACAAACAACCAAUUAAUGACAAUAAAAUAUAAAAGAUAAUGAUGAAAAUCUUUUCCUUCUUAAAAAUUCAUACGCACAAGGACUAUUGGAUAGUCUUGAUGCACAAAAACUCUUUUUAAUUAAUAAAAUAGUUUCCUAUAUAAAAGAAACAAUUAAUGACAAAUUAAAGAAUUUUAAGUAAACAAGGAGACUUCCCUUUUGUGUUUCACGGUACAUAGGACUUGUUGCACAAGUCUUUACUCAUCCCUUGUUUAUUAGAAUCCAAUUAGAUUCUAACAAUCUCCCCCUUUGUCAUUUAUUGAUUCUAACAUUUUUUCCCCCAGAGUAAAUUGCCUGAAAAUGAAACAAUUAGAUGAUAGACGGAAGCAAUAAAACUAAGGAUCAUCCUCAGCAUUAAAGGAACAUCCGGCAACAAGAGUGGCAUCAACUGUUGCAAUAGCCAGUGCCACAGUUUCAGCAACUGUUCCCACAGUAGUGGCUUCGGCAGGUGGUUCACAAUGGAGUCAGCUUCCCAUGCAUGUGUUUCUCCCCCUGUAGAUGAUCAUUGGGCAACUCUUCUUGUAAAUGACGUGAGCAUUAGCUCCUCCUUUUAUAUUCUUGUGAAUAUCUAAACCAAUUAAUGACAAUAAACACAAUAUUAGAAAAAGUGAAAUUCCUUUUAUUUUGGAUACACACGUUCAGGUGUUAAUAUGGAGAGAUAAACUAUUUCUUCUCAAAUUAUCUAAUGAGAUAACUAAGGAGGAAAAUAUGCUCGUAUUAAUACAAAUCUCCAUAGAAUUCCACUUCGUGUUGUGGACUUAGAAUCCCACCGAGAUUCUAACACUCUCCCCCUUUGGAAUUGAUUGGUCAGAAUAUUUACUCCCCCUAAAUAUAUGAUACCUGCAUGAACAAGGGUUAGCAAAUUCAGAAUAACAUUUGCACAUAUAAACUGUUGCAACAGUUUAUCAAACAGUUCAGCAUAUAGUGUACAGUUGUUCAAUUAAGCAAAGAACAACAAAAAAUAUGCAGUAGCAGAAUCAACUUCCCUUUACAAUGAAUUCCUCCUUAUUUGUCAUGUAUUUCUGCACUAUUCCAACAACUGUAUGAUGCAUUGUCUCAACAGUUAUCUGAACUCCUCCUGCAUUCCUGCACUGUUCCAGCAACUAUCUGAUGCACUGUCGCAACAGUUGUCGGAACUCCCCCUGUGUUCAUGCCAUCAUUACUGUUCUUUUCUCCCCCUUUCUGAGCAAUCACCAUGCAUAUAUAACUCAACAUGGACUAAUGAUCGUGAUAAUUCGAGUAAGCUGUUCAAACACUUAAAAAAAAGAUCAAACGUAGAGAGAAUUUUGAAAGUAAGUAAGAAGAAUCACCAUACAUGACGUGCACACAAAAUCACAAACGCAUAAACUCAAUACUACACGAUAAUUACAAUUCAAAAAUCAAAGGAUAAUGAUAUCAAAUCCAACAUUAAAUAACAAAGACUAUAGACUUUGCCAAACUUCAUACGAGACGUGGAAAUGUGAGGAGUAAGUUCAAUAGAUCCGGUUUUCGCACACAAAUUAUCACAAUUCCGAGAACCAAGUUUUUUAUUCCCCAAACUAGCUUUGUCACCAGAACUGUUGGAACAGUUAGUACUAUCAUCACAUGAUUUUAAAGAAGUAAUGGGAGAUAAAUAAUUAAGAUCAGACUUCUUUACCCAUAUUUUUUGUUGAGUUUUAUUCACUAAAUCAACCUUUAUCUUGAGUUUUUGCGACGACACAAAAGUGUGAUCAAUUUUAGCGGAAAGUGGUGAGCGGGCCAUUAUUCUUUUAACCAUUUUCAAGUACUUAAAACACCUGGGUCGUAUAUGACCAGGAACAUGACAAAAAUGACAAAUAGGCAUACAACGUUUUCUUUUAGAUGACUGAUUUGAUCAACAGUCGCAACAGUCUGUGAAACAGUGGAUUGUUUAACAAAAUUGAUUUUUCCUCUUGGACAUUCUUUCUGUUUCAAAGCAUCAUUAGAUAGUUUAUUACCCCCUCUACCUAGAUGGCAAUAGUUCGGCUGAUUUGUUCUCAAAAUUUCAUUCAAAUCUACCCUACCUGUAAUUAAUUUUGACACAAAAUCUUGGGUUUUAGCAAAUUUAGCCUUCAAACUAUCUGUUUCUCUACUAGCAGAAAUAACAUUUUGUUCAAGAGUUGAAAUUCUUACCUUCAAUACUUUGUUUUCCUGAAUUAGGACAAGCUUCUCUUUUUCUAAGAAUUUAUUCGACUCGCAUACCUUAAGAAAUUUUUCGUACAUCCUUUUGUUGCACGUCAUUAAUUCUUUCAAGGUUCCCUCGUCAUCAUCGCUGUUGUUUUCUGAAUCCCCAUCAUCACCUGCAAGAUUUAACGGAGUUAAUCUUUUAUCAGGUAUAGAGUGCAACUUAUCAUACGUCUGUUCUGUCUGAACUGUUUGUCCAACUGUUGCAACCGUUUCAGCGAUAGUCUCUUUGCACUCGCUUAUCUGAGUAGUUCCUUCGUAGGUCUCUUGUAGAACAUCCCAUGCCUCCUUUGCUGAUUUGCACAUUGAUAUCUGUUUGAAUUGGUCGUCAUCGAUACAACUCAAGAUAGCAUUGGUUGCCUUGGAAUUACAAUCUGCUUUUCGUAUUUCUUCAUCACUCGACUUCUCUUUUGGCGUUUGAAUGAUCUCGUGUGACUCAUUCAUUGAGGUAGGAGGUGUCCAACCAGUUAGAAUCGCGUGCCAUGCCCAUUCAUCAAUAGAUUUGAUGAACAUCUUCAUCCUUAUUUUCCAAUCAGAGUAGUUCAAUUCACCCAAGAGAGGUGGUAGGAAUGCGCCUUCAAAAUGAUUAUUCAUAUCUGCACAAAAAAAAUAAAAAUGAAUUAAAUCCCAAAAUCUCACUAAGUGUAUCUAGUGAUAGGCUCUUGAUGCCAAUUGAUAUAAUUUAUUUCGUGCAGAUAUAAAUUAUUUGUGUCAGAUUCAGUUUUUCGUUACUGUUGCGUGAAGUGCUGCAACAGUUCGUGAAACAGUUUGUAAAAACAGAAAUAAACGAGACACAAAUUUAAUGUGGUUCGGAUACAAUUGUACCCUACAUCCACGGGGACCUGCAAAUAAAAUUUACUAAUUUUUAGUUUUACGAAUACAAUAGUAGGACUUAAUCAAAAUACAAAGACUCCCUCUUUGUUAACGUCGUUCUUGUAUACUACGCUGAAUUAGAAAUCUUCAAUUUGCAGCACGUCCCUUGCUCCGCACGGUUGAACUCCCUUCAACGCUGAAUCCCUCAGUCGGCGGAUCGAUCUCCUCCCGAGAUCUGUUUAAGCCCCUCUCCCGAAGAACCGAUCUUCUUUUUGUAUAGAAGAAGCAAACUUGUGAUACUCGUUGAAUCUUGGUGUCUUCACCAUAAAGCCUUGAUGCUGAUAUAUUUUCUACGAAAAUCACGUAUCAUGAUGGAGCAAUAAAAACGAGAGGAAAAAAUAUUUUCUCUGAACUCUUCUCUCGAUAAAAAGGAUGCAGUAAACUACGUUCAUGCUCCUCCUUUUAUAGUCUGGGAAAACUCCUGUAUUAGGUUUCACCAAAUUAGAGACGUAGAAGGAAUUCUUUUAAAAGAUAUGGAAUAAGAGUCCAUGCCUUAUUACAAUAUUGUCAUCCUAAUCUAAUGGGAAUUCCCAUGUAAACAAACAACCAAUUAAUGACAAUAAAAUAUAAAAGAUAAUGAUGGAAAUCUUUUCCUUCUUAAAAAUUCAUACGCAUAAGGACUAUUGGAUUGUCUUGAUGCACAAAAACUCUUUUUAAUUAAUAAAGUUUCCUAUAUAAAAGAAACAAUUAAUGACAAAUUAAAGAAUUUUAAGUAAACAAGGAGACUUCCCUUUUGUGUUUCACGGUACAUAGGACUUGUUGCACAAGUCUUUACUCAUCCCUUGUUUAUUAGAAUCCAAUUAGAUUCUAACAGUAUUCUAAACCUCCACGCAUACUGUAGCUACCCCUCAGGUAACCCAUCAUUGAGUUUGAUCUACGAGCACUGCCUAGUCGGCGAGAUUCGGCUCAGAUGCAUUGGUUUUCGAGACUCAGCUCGGCAGACAUUGGGUAGCGAGACUCAGCUCGGAGGACAUUGGAUCGGCGAGUUUCAGCUCGGCAGGCAUUCGGUAGGCGAGCAUAGGUUUGGCGAGGGAUGGCUCAGCAGAUCCAGGUUUUGCGAGAUUCGAUCUCGUCAGAUGAGGUCGGCGAGACUUAGCUCGGUGGACAUGGAUCGACGAACACUGAGACGGGGUUGACUGAUGCUUCUCUCAUUUCUUCUCCCACCUCGGAUUUGUCAAGCUCUUGACUCAUUUGGACUCGUUUCAUGCCUCGUGAAUCUACUCUGAUUUCUUUUUCUCUUUAGAUUGUGGUCGACGUUAGAGAAGUAUUUAUUUCUACAUUCCCCUCUUUGUACUUCAUUGAUUCAUCAGAUUUGGAUUCCAAGCAUAAGAUUUGAGCCCUUUUCUUGGUUUCCCGUUAAAGAACUUUCCAAGAAAUACAUUGAACCGUUCUUCCUCGAUCUUGCCGCUCAUUAUCUUCAACCUCAUGGAGAAGAUCCCAAAAUUCAAAUCAUCUCACGUCUUAGCUUGAGAUCUUUCCCACAGACGGCGCCACUUGAUUUGCUCCAAAAUGGUCGAGACGAUGACGUGGGAUCCUUCCGCUAGAGGGGUACCUGCAACGCCGGGAGGGGUUUCCCGGCGUAGAAGCUCCAACGAUCAAGUCAGUUUUUAUCGAGAGAUAAUCGAGUGUGAUAUGUAAGAGAGAGCAUAGAAGUGAUAAGUUGAGAGUAACUCCCUAUUUAUAGGUGAGGAUACUUGAUGGGCAAGAAAUAAGCAAACUUGCCCUAACUCCUCUUCUUGGGCCUGAUAUGAUUUUGGGCCAAAUACAAGUCAAAACUCAAUCCACGGCCCAAUAAAUGAUUAGGAAACCCCAUGAGGACAAUUUGGUCCGUAUCAUAAACAUACACAGGAAUAAAAUCAGAGAAAGGGGAAGAGAACAAUCUGAUUAAAUAGAAGAAGAACCUUUCGUUGGCACUUCCAAAAAUAUCAUCCCAUAAAUGAUAAAGAGAAGUGAAAUGGCGACGGAAUGAGUUACAUAAAAAAUAAAAAAUAAAAAUAAAAAGAAAAGAAAAAAAAAGCAAAAAGGGAGAAUCCAAUAUGACGUAAGCGCUUGAGUGUGUGUGGGUAGGUGAAGCAUUGCAAGAGAACGGAAAAUAAAGAAAAAUUAAAAUGCAUUUACGCUUUGCGUUGGAGAUUUUCACCAAAAACGACGUCGUUUUUUGUUCGCUUUUGUUUGAUAAAAAAUCGAAAUGUUUAAUAAUAUAAAAAACAUUAAAUGCAAUAAAAAGAUGAUAAUUAUUUUAUUGAGAAGAAAUAUUGUAGAUAUUAUUCUAGGGAGAUAUAUGUAAAAAACGAUUAUAUAUAUAUAUAUAUAUAUAUAUAUAUAUAUGAAAUUAAAAUUGGUGUUGAUUUGUUAAAUGUCAUACCUAUAGUUUGAUUGGUAAUUACUACAUAUAUACAAAUUAAUAUUAUAUAUAAAGUUACUAAUUAUAGUAAAUGACAUCUUAUAUAAAAAAGAAAGAAACGCUGGGCAACCCUAAAAAUCCCUGAUGGUAUUUCUGUAAUUAUUUAUUUUAAAAUUUUUUUCUCUACUAAUUUCUAACUUAAAUUUUAACAAUUAUCAGAAUUAAAACUAACCCAUUAAGAAUCCUACUUAUUGGUAGUUAUGUUAUUAUUUAUUUUAAUAUUUUUUCUCUACUAAUUUUUUAACUACCUAAUGGUAUUUCUGUAAUUAUUUAUUUUAAAUUUUUUUUCUCUACUAAUUUCUAAGUUAAAUUUUAACAAUUAUCAAAAUUAAAACUAACGCAUGAAGAAUCCUGCUUAUUGGUACUUAUGUUAUUAUUUAUUUUUAAUAUUUUUUCUCUACUAAUUUUUUAACUAUAAUUUUCAACAAUUAUUAAUCUCCUAUUUUUCACCAAUAUAUCUCAAAUCUUAAGAGAUAAAGUAAUUCGAUUUGUUAAAUCUUAGCCUAUUUAUUUGCAUUAUAACAUCUCGAGCCAUUGUCCAUACCUUCAGCAUCAUCAAUAUUGAGAUUCUCUUGAAUUGCAAAGGGUUGGUACAUACAUACACAUAUUAAAUAACCAAUCACAUGAAUCACACCUCCAUGUGGAUCCAUUGGCAGGAAUACAUCCUUUCAUGUAUAAAAGCUUCACUGCAUAAACCACAACAAAAUAAAGAUUUGAAAUAUUCCAUUUCAGUCAUCCCACAUACAAUGCAAGAUCCAGAGCGUUGAACGGCUUUGAUUGAUUCCCUACAUGCGACUCACAUACAUUGAUCGAAAUUAGGGUCAGAAUACGCAUUGUAAAGAACACAUAGUUUGGACUGAGCGCAAACAACUGUUUUGAUCGCCAUAAAGUACGAACGACUUUGUAUAAUAAACUGCAUGAAAAAAAUUAAAAAAUUAUAUUAAAAUUAACAACCCAAAAGAAAGAACGACAAAUAAUACUCAUAUGUAUAUAUAAAAAUAAUUGUGAAUAUAAAAAUAUGCAUAUUAAUUAUAAAAAUAUAUAAGAAAGGAUAAAAAUGUAAUAUGAAACUGUAUAAUACGAACAUUAUGCACUUUGUAAUGGAGUGGUGGUAGAUAAAAAUGAAAUUAAUGUGGAGUGAUUUAAAUAGUAUUGAGCAUGAACUUUAUUUUAUGGAAAAAAUAAAAAUUCAAAAGAUUUAUAUAUUAGUAAAUGAAAUCAAAUCAAACAAAUAAAGGAAACAACCCAAAAAAAUAAGAUAAUAACUUCUACGAAACAAUCUUGCAAUAUAAAAUAACUAUAAAGAUGAUUAAUUUUGCAAUUCAGUUAAAUACGGUAUUGGAAAUCUUGCAAUUCUUUUUUGAAAGAGAGCAUUUAUUAUUUAGAUAAUGUGUGCUAAAUCAGGGGGAAGUGUUAAACCCUCGAGCACAUUAUCACAUGAAAGUUUAGCAAUAGCGUGGGCUAAACAAUUACCCGAACGCUUUACAAAACGUACCGAACAACAAUGAAAAUAUUGAGAUAUUCUUCGGCAAUCUUCCACAAUAGCUCCGAAAGAUUCAGUCGCACUAUCUCCAUCACGAAGUGCUUUGAUGAGUUGCAGACAAUCUCCUUCGAGAAUAAUAUUGGUCCAGCCUUUACCUUUUGCCAUAGACACCGCUUUGAGACCCUUCAACGGGUCGAAAAUUGCCUCUGAUUUUGACCACCUUCCAACCAACACAUUGGCCAAUGUCGUCUCUUGCUACCGCUGCCACAGAGAUCCAUUGUUGUCCCGGGAGAAGCGAUGCGUCAAAAUUCACCUUGAUCACGCCAUGCGAUGGAGGAAUCCAUUCACUAGGGUGAGGAGGUUGCGUGCGUGAAUCCGGUCGGACCGCGUUGAGUUGUCGUUACUUUAUUUACGUACAUUCUAUAUUUGCAUGUUUACGAUCUUGCAUGCUUUUAAAUUAGGGUUUCUCACAAUUCCAAAUAUUUACGUUCGGCUAGAUAAUAUAACGAUAAUAUAAUUACACUACUCAGCAUGUGAAUCUACAAGGUCCCUGUGGAUCGAUAUCCGGAACGACUGUUCUGCAAAAUGCGAUACUGUAUACUUGCGGUAAUUUAUACGUGAGGAAAACGCGAACCAAGUUUUUGGCGCCGUUGUCGGGGACCAAUUUGAUUUUAUCUUUGUUGAUAGUGUUACCAAUUAUCUGACUAUUACUUUAGCUAUUUACCUGCUUUAUUUUCGAUUUCCACCUUGAUUUUAACCGAUCACUUUGUUUAUGCCCAGGCGUCGAAAUUUGGAAAUCAUACCUUACGAUCCCGAGAUUGAAAGGACGUUUCGCAGACGAAGGGCCGCGCGCAACCAACAAAGUGAACCAAUGGCCGAAGAUCAAGGAAAUCUAGAGCACCUGGCCUUUGAGUACGAUCGAGAGCCAGGACGAGAUCACGAGCAGCCAAGACCGAACCUACCACCCGAGCGAACAAUGCGAGAAUACCGAACCCCAGAUGUGAAUGAGAACUAUUCUGGAAUCAGGAAAUCGACAGAUGAGCCAAGAGCCGAUGCACGAGUCUUGGGAGAGAUUCAAGGACUUAUUACGACAAUGCCCUCAACACGGAUUCAACCCGUGGGAUCAAAUGGAGUUAUUCUACAAUGGGCUCGAUCAACCAGCCCGAUCUCUAGUCGAUGCUGCCUCAGGUGGAUCAUUGCAAAACAAGACUCCCACAGACGCUCGAGACAUUGUCUAGCGAAUGUGUGAGAAUGCUUACCAUUGGCCGUCCGAACGGAGUGGUAUACAAAAGCUGGCCGGAGUCCACCAACUAGAUCCUUUAGCCGCAGUUUCAGCACAAUUAGCUACUCUAUCAAAUCAGGUCGCCCAAUAAUCAGUUCGAGGGCCACAGACCGAACGAGUAGCAGCAGCAAGUACCUCACAAGCCACAAAUGACGAUUGGGAGCAGACACACUUUAUGAACCACCGAUUCAACAAUUUCCGGGGAACCAACAAUCAGAACCAAAACCCUACUCAUUACCACCCGGGAAUUCGGAAUCACGAGAACUUCUCCUAUGCCAAUCCAAAGAAUGUUCUACAACCACCUCCCGAUUUCAACCAUCAAAGAGAGCAACGAGGGCCAACGUAUGACGAGCGUCUUCACCGACAAGAACAGGAAAUGGAGGGCCUGAAAUCAACAAUGAAGAACAUGGAGAAGCAAAUAAGGCAAAUCGCCCAAUCCAUGUCCACAAUGGCCAAGGGCGGAUUUCUGAGCAAUGCCGAAGUCAAUCCAAAGGAAAGCUGUCAAGCCAUAACCACCCGAAGUGGUUUGCAAAUGACUGAUCCUCCUUAUCUGACAGACGAAUCACCAAAGCCAGCUGUACAACCGACCCCGGUCGAGCCAGAAAUCACCAUCUCAGGGAGUAGUACAAAAGAGGCUAGUAAGCCCAAUAACAUUUUUUUCCCUGAUAAUCCUCCUCUUUUGAUAACUCCUAUUCCUUUUCCAGAAAGACAGAAGAAGAAGAAGUUCAAGGAUCAAUUGAAGAAGUUCAUUGAAAAGAUCAAGCAGAUUCGAAUCAACAUCCCUUUUGCAGAAGCCUUGGAGGUAAUGCCAAACUACACCAAGUUCAUGAAGGAAGUCCUAUUCAAGAAAAUUCGAAUCGAAGAAGACAUACCAGUGACACUCACGGCAACUUGUAGUGCCAUUCUUCAGUCGAAUCUACCACCGAAAAUGAAAGAUCCAUGGAGUUACACUAUUCCAUGUAUUACUGGAAAUUCUACUUUCGAUAAAGCUUAAUGUGAUUUGGGGGCAAGUAUUAAUUUGAUGCCUAUGUCUGUGUUUCUAAAACUGGGCUUACGAAAUUUGAACCGCACUCGCAUGACUUUACAACUAGCUGAUCGUUCAUUGAAAUAUCCUGAUGGGAUUGUAGAAGAUGUGCUAGUUAAAGUAGAUAAAUUCAUUUUGCCUGUUGAUUUUGUGGUACUUGAAAUGCCUGAAGAUGAUGAAGCACCAAUCAUUUUAGGUCGUCCAUUCUUAGCCACUGGUAAGGCGAUGAUUGAUAUGGAAUUAGGAUCUUUAAUGCUUAGGGUAAAUGGGGAAGAAGUUGUUUUUAAUUUGACAGAUGCAUUUAAACACAUGGGUCAGUCCGGUGCAGGUUGUGCCAAAAAGAGGUGGGAUGACGGUUAUUGUGAAUGAUAAAAAUGAACUUAUUCCGUCUAGAAUAGUCACUUGGUGGCGUGUGUGUUUCGAUUACCGAUUAUUGAAUGUUGCCACUAGAAAAGACCAUUUCCCCCUUCCCUUUAUCGAUCAAAUGCUAGACAGGCUAGGAGGUUUCGAGUAUUACUGUUUUCUUGAUGGUUAUUCGGGGUACAAUCAAAUUUCAAUCGCCCCGGAAGACCAAGAGAAAACUACUUUUACUUGCCCCUACGGUACUUUUGCAUUUCUUAAGAUGCCUUUCGGUUUGUGUAAUGCACCUGCUACCUUUCAACGAUGUAUGAUGUCUAUUUUUCAUGAUAUGGUAGAAGAAUUUCUUGAGGUGUUUAUGGAUGAUUUUUCUAUGUUUGGAUCCUCUUUCGAUCAUUGUGUGCACAAUCUAGAACUUGUUUUAAAAAGAUGUACAAAAAUGAACCUUGUAUUAAAUUGGGAAAAAUGUCAUUUUAUGGUUCGUGAAUGUAUUGUUCUAGGUCACAAGGUCUCGAAAAAGGGUCUUGAGGUGGACAGGGCAAAAAUCGAAACGAUUGAAAAAUUGCCUCCACCGAAAGAUGUCAAGGGGGUUAGAAGUUUUUUGGGGCAUGCUGGGUUUUACCGUAGAUUUAUUAAAGAUUUUUCGAAAAUAGUAAAACCAUUAUGUCAUUUGCUUGAGAAGGAAGUCGUCUUUGAUUUUGAUUCUGCUUAUUUGCAGACUUUCACAUUUCUCAAGGAGAAGCUAACCCAAUCACCGAUUAUGAUUACUCCCAAUUGGGUGGAACCAUUCGAGAUCAUGUGCGAUGCGAGCGACUAUGCUGUAGGUGCAGUAUUGGGACAAAGGAGGGACAAAAUCUUCAAAGCCAUCUACUAUUCGAGUCGUACACUUGACCAGGCACAGAAGAAUUAUUCAACGACCGAAAAGGAAAUGCUUGCUGUCGUUUAUGCCGUUGACAAGUUCAGACCGUAUAUUUUGGGGUCUCAAGUGAUCAUUUAUACCGACCACGCAGCUAUUCGAUACUUGUUCGCGAAGAAGGACGCCAAGCCCAAACUCAUCAGAUGGGUACUCCUACUCCAAGAGUUCGACCUAGAAAUCAGAGACAAAAAGGGGAGCGAGAAUGUGGUAGCAGAUCAUCUUUCCAGACUCAUACUAGAAGAAGUUCCAGCCGAAGGAAAUAUUCAGGAAUCCUUCCCAGACGAGCAACUCCUCGCCAUUAGUACUCACACUCCGUGGUAUGCUGAUGUGGCCAACUUCUUGGCCAGUGGAAUCAUUCCUGACGAUCUAUCUUAUCACCAAAAGAAAAAAUUCCUUCACGACAGUCGUUUCUAUCUAUGGGACGAGCCGUUGCUUUUCAGAACCGGCCCCGCUCGUGUUAUCCGAAGAUGUGUUCCGGAAACAGAAGUACGUGAGAUUCUCACACAUUGCCACUCUUCACCUUGUGGCGGGCAUCACGCGGAAUCUCACACAGCCGCCAAGGUUCUGCAGUCAGGCUUCUUUUGGCCAACCCUUUUCCGUGAUAGUUACGAGUUCGUGAAACGGUGUGAUCGAUGCCAAUGAACAGGGAACCUAUCCAACAAAAGCCAAAUGCCUUUGAACAACAUGCAAGAGGUGGAACUUUUCGAUGUUUGAGGCAAAGACUUCAUGGGACCAUUCCCUUCUUCGAACGGGAAGUUAUACAUUCUACUUGCCGUGGACUACGUGUCCAAAUGGGUCGAAGCGAUUGCCACCACUGCCAACGAUGCUCGUACGGUCCUCAAAUUCUUCCACAAGAACAUAUUCUCAAGGUUUGGGACACCUAGGGCGAUCAUUAGCGAUGAAGGAUCUCACUUCUGCAACAAACUGCUCACUAAUCUCACGAACAAGUUGGGGAUCCGACACAAAAUUGCGCUUGCCUAUCAUCCCCAAACAAAUGGCCUUGCUGAAUUGUCAAACCGAGAAAUCAAACAGAUUCAGGAGAAGACCGUGAGCAUGAACCGAAAAGAUUGGGCGUUGAAGCUCGAUGAUGCACUUUGGGCCUAUCGAACCGCAUUCAAGACACCGAUUUGGAUGUCUCCGUACAAACUCGUGUUUGGGAAAGCGUGCCACCUGCCAGUGGAAUUGGAGCACCGAGCUUAUUGGGCAGUCAAAAAGCUCAAUUUCGAUCAAACAGCCAUCGGCGAUCGUCGAUUGCUUCAACUCAACGAAAUGGAGGAGUUCAGAAACGAUGCUUACGAGAAUGCCAAGAUUUACAAAGAAAAGACGAAAAAGUGGCGUGACAAAAGGAUUACAAAGCGAGAGUUCCGGGCAGGUGACCAAGUCCUCCUAUUCAAUUCUCGGCUACGACUAUUUCCGGGAAAGCUCAAGUCCCGUUGGUCAGGACCAUUCGUAGGCCUGAGCGCAACCCCACAAGGAGUUAUCGAAAUACGAGGACGAGACGGUCCGUCGUUCAAAGUGAAUGGGCAACGAGUUAAGCAUUACUAUCCAAAUGGUGCUUCCGAGGAAGUGGAGCGUGUCGCACUAAUUUUCUCCCAAUAAAUCCAAAAGAAGUCGAGCCGUCGACUGUAAAACAGGCGCUAAAUGGGAGGCACCCCAUUAAUGCUCAUUCUCUGUCAUUUUUCUUUUGUUCUUGCUUUCGUUUUUGUUUUUAGUCUUUUCUUGCAUUUUUAUAUUUUUUGGGUUCAAUAUCUCCAUCUCACCCAUUUAAAUUUCAAAUUUUGUGCAGAUUACAAGAUCCAGUUCGCGAUCCAGAAAGUGGGAUCGCCAUCUGGGGGUCUUACAGAGAAGAAAUUGAGGUAAAUCCAGAUCGCAAUCCAGAAAGCCGGAUCGCGAUCUGGGGGUCUGACAGAGAGCAAAUUGGGGUCAGAUCCAGAUUGCGAUCCAGAAAGUGGGACCGCGAUCUGGGGGGUCUGACAGAGAGCAAAGUGGGGCAAAUCCAGAUCGCGAUCCAGAAAGCCGGAUCGCGAUCUGGGGGGUCUUAUCGAGAGCAAAUAGGUAGCGGACCCAGAUCGCGAUUCGGCUCUUCUAGAUCACGAUCUGGGGAAAAAAAAAAACUGUACUUAAUCGAAAAAAAAAACCCUCUUUUUCUCACUUCUUUCUUUUACAAAACUCGAAACCCCUUUCCCCCAACCCUAGAACUUCGAUUUUCUUUCAAAUUUCCUCUUCAAACUUGCAUAUUCUUAGAUUUUCAUCAACUAUUAACGAUUAUUGCUUGCUUAUAUUGAGAAUUGUGGACGAAUCUUCAACAAAGGUAUGUUCCUGACCCAAAUUUUUAAGUUUUGCUUGAAAAUUCGAAUUUCAUCCAAUUUUCUUGUUUUGUCCCUUGGUUCUUCAAUUCUUAUUGCUUGUACGUAAUUAGGUACUUGAUUUUGGGAUUUAAAGACUUGUUUAAUUGGUUGAACCAAUGUUUAGAUAUAGGAAUUGCCCUAUUAUGCUUAAUUUCGAAUUUCUUGUGAAUUUUUUAAUGGGUCGAGUCAUAUUAUGCUAAUUUUUGCUCGUUGAUCGUUAUUAAUUGUUGUUGUUGUGGUGAUUGAUAUAGGAGGGUUAAUUUUCGAAAGAAACUAACAUUCAAGGAGUUUCAAAGAACUUGUGCACGCCAAGUGUUCGAUGAAUUGUCCGAACCAAUUUCAAGUUUCAUUUUGCACCCUCAUUCACACCAUGACUUCACCGGCAAACAAACUCCAAAAGACGGGCGAGAGUUCCAAAAAAUCCCAACCGAAUGGCGAAGGAAAAGCACCGGAAAAGAAGAAGGGCAAGGCUCAAGCAAAAAGAGGGGAGAAGCUCUUCACUCUCGCCUUCACAUUCGGAGGGACCAACCGAGCAAGCCAUGCCAAGAACCGGUGACGUGCCACACAACACGGGCGCCCGUGCCAAUCAACGCAUGCUCGUGAGCGAAGUCACCUUUGACAAACACGAUGAAGACAUCUAUGUGAAUGUCGAAGCCAAGAGCGAAUUUAUCGACCGCCUCCCUCGUCCGAUCGUCCCAGAACGUGAGUUGUGUGUCCGUACGAUUGGAUGCCCCUCGGUCGUCGACAACAUCCACGAAAGGUGGUGGAGAGCACUCGUCGACAAACCAGGCACCUACAACGAGAACUUGGUCCGGCUCUUCUACGCCAAUGCCGGUCAGUACAAAGGCUCGGUGGUUUUCAUCCGGGGCGUCGAAGUUCGUUAUGACGGAGAAGCCAUCAACCGAGUCUACAAGCUUAUCCCCCCCCCGUGUUCCAGACAUUCCGACCGAGCCGUUCCAGGCACUGAAGAUGGAGACGACGUACAAGGACCUCAUUCAGACCCUGUGCCCCCGAGGAUCGUAUUGGGCAUCAGGAGAUAAGUCGUUCUAUCGAGCCGAGCUCUCUCGAGAGGCAAAGAUUUGGAUGUAUUUCGUCUACUCCCGACUCAUGCCGACGGUUGCAACGGCCAAGCCCUAUGCCACUCGCCUCACGUUGAUAUACGCAAUCAUGAAGGGCACCUCUCUGAACGUGGGUGCCAUUAUCCACUCAGAGAUUCGACGGUGCAUGGGCGACACCUCUUUGGGCCCGAUGUUCCCCUCCCUCAUCACCACCUUAUGCAAAAAUGCCAACGUGGCGAUGUUUGCCGACGAAAAGGUCACAAAGGCUCCGAAGCCAAUCUUCCCGUUCGACAAGCUCCAGCCAGCUUCCGGUCCACAGGGCGAGGGCGAUGGCCCUGAGCCAGACGCGCCACCAUCCGAGGAUUCCCGACCAUCUCGAGCCGCACCACGAGGCGGAUAAAGGCAGCAGACAGCAGCAGCAGCAGCUCCGCCACUUCCGGAGUACAUGACCGAGUGGAUGGAUGCCAUGGAGGAGAACGUGGGCUUGUUCAAGAAGAUGAUCAAGGUGAUGGCAGCAGCACUCCAGUGCAGGACGGACGACGUCGUCGAGCCACGACCAUUCCCACCACGGCCUCGUUUUGACGGAGUAUCUACCUCCACCGCAGCCGCAGAAGAAGCUGCACGAGCGGCAGCCACCACCCUGGUGAGGCCCAUCUGGGAGGAGCACGAAAGUGGACUUUGAGAGGACGAGGACCAAGCUAUCGAGGAAGACCAUGACUUCUAGGGACGUUGUGUUUUCUUUCCCUUUUAUUUUUUAUUCUGCUUGUGAGCAUAGGGACUAUGCUAGAGUUUGAGUUUGAGGGUGGUUUGUUGAACCUCUUUGUUUUUGUUUUUGUUUUUAGUUCGUUUGUUUUGGGAUAAGUCGUUGGAUUGAUAUUUCGUUUACGAUGUAUCUUUGCUAGACUUUGUUUUUAUUUCAUUUUAUAUAUCUUAUUUUGAUUUGGUCUUUUGCAUGCAUAUCAUAUAAUUUAGUUUCGUUUAUGUAUUUUGAUUUCCGUAAUUGUGUUAUGUUUGUCACAUGCAUUUCAUUUAGGAUCGAGUGUAAUUUGCAUUUCCGGGUUCUAUUGAAGCAAAGCAAUUAAUGAAUUAGUAGAUGGGCUAGUUUAUUUUAAAAUUAAAAUUAUGGAUAACCGGAUAAUUAUAGAUGAACCUUCCGACUGCGUUUUUGCAACUUGUGUGGAUAGCCUUUCGAAUCCUUUCUGAUUAAGCUUGAGCGCACUUUUCUGAGGGGUAUAAUAGCCUGAGGUUUGGGGGGCGAGUUAGAAUUGAAUUAUGUGUUCACGAUUUCGAGUUGUUGGCUAAAAGUUCUAUCAAUGGUCUUUACGUUUUUAUUUUAUGUCAAAAAAAAAAAAAAAAAAAAAAAUUUGUGAUGAAAAUCACAAUAUAUUGUUGUUGUCAUUUCUUAUUGAAUAAAUAGACCUACUUAUGCCCAACUCGAGUUUUUGAAUUUCAGAAUCAAAACUUGCUUUUCAACCACAUUUCUACUCAAAACCCUCGAUGAUUGUGUUUAUUGUUUAAUUAUGGAUUCUUGAGUCUAUCUUUCAUUUUGGUGUAGAAACAACUAAUUGCCUCGGUAGGAAAGUCGAAUACCUUAAGCUGUAUGCCAUUUUGAGAUUUUAGGUUAUCUAGCUCGUUUUAUCUUUGGAAUUAAUUGCAAUGCUUUGACCAAUCCGGCAACUUUGUGGGUGUGUUGUCUGAAAACCCUCACGAGACACAACUCGUCCUUUGGGGGUAUCUAGGGGUUCAAAGGCUUGUUGCAUACGCUAAAUGCAAUCGUGAUUCCCUACGUUAGUGGCCUAGUUUAGUUUGUUGUUUUUAUUUCCUUUUUGUUGUUGUUUCGUUUUGAUUUACUCGGGACGAGUAAAGAUCUAAGUUUGAGGGUGUGAUAAGUGUUCGUUUUGCACGAUUUUUGCUUAUCAAAUCUUCGAGUUUUGGUCUUCGUUCGUCCGAGUUUCGGCUUUAUUUGUAUAUAUUAUUGUGUUUCUUGUUUUAUUUCUAUUUUAGGGUUUUAUUAGGUAUUUUUGCCGAGUCGAAGCCAUUUGAAAGCGAAACCAAAUUUUCAAGCUAAUUUUGGGGCCAAGAAGACCCAGAUAGCGAUCUGAAAUCUCCAGAUCGCGAUCUGGGGGUUGUCACAAUACGAAAAUGGAUCAAGACCCAGAUCGCGAUCCAACAUUCUGGAUCGCGAUCUGGGGGGUCCGACAGAGCUGAAAUGAUUGAAGAUCCAGAUCGCGAUCCAGGAAGUCGGAUCGCGAUCUGGGGGGUCCGACAGAGCUGAAAUGGUUCAAGAUCCAGAUCGCGAUCCACAUUCCUGGAUCGCGAUCUGGGCACGCUUUUUGAGGAAGAUAUUUUAUUUUUCAAAGCUUCUUGAGGAAGCUUUGCAUUUCACUACAAAUAGAAAGGCCCUUUCAUUCUUCAUUCCUUCUUCGACUUUUUACGGUUUUCGACAGUUCUUUGUGGGAAUCAUCAACGGGGGUUCCGACUAGGGUUUUUCUUACGCAAUUUCUUUACGUUUUGUUCUUCAUUUCCUUUGUACAUUCUUUUGAUACUAUGUUUGUUAUGAACUAAGAACAUUUUCUUCUAGGGUAAUGAAGCCUUGUAUAUAUUGAUUUCGAUCGUCAUUUCUGUUAUCUAUUUGUCGUGUUUUGAUUUCGUUUAUGUUUUCCUGUAUUAAAUGCUUCUGAUUGUUUGAUCAGCUCUCGGAUUGAUAUUAAAUAGGAAUGAACUCGAGAGAGGAUUUCUUGUUUGAAGUUAGGAAAAUAUAGCUCGGGGUGUGGAAACGGAGACAUGAUGCACUUCGGGUAGCCCUUAAGGACUUGACCUAAAUGCCCUCUUAAUAGCAAGUUCUGAACGGAGACGUCGGACCUGUGGGUAGAAUCUAACUACACUGGAGACGGGGGUUAGAGUACAUUAGAGUUUGGGUUAACGAAUAGGAAUGUGGCAUUAGAUAACGGAUUUGUAGAUCGUUGUUGAUUAUACAUAGGUGGAUUUGGCCCUAGAAAUCCCCUUUAAAUCGAAGUCCCCCCGCGUUGAGUUGUCGUUACUUUAUUUACGUACAUUCUAUAUUUUCAUGUUUACGAUCUUGCAUGCUUUUAAAUUAGGGUUUCUCACAAUUCCAAAUAUUUACGUUCGGCUAGAUAAUAUAACGAUAAUGUAAUUACACUACUCAGCAUGUGAAUCUACAAGGUCCCUGUGGAUCGAUAUACGGAACCACUGUUCUGCAAAAUGCGAUAUUGUAUACUUGCGGUAAUUUAUACGUGAGGAAAACGCGUAUCACACACCCUGGGGAAUCUGUUCCUUUAUUGAAGCCAAUGUUUUACCGAGGGCCUUGGAGAGUUAUGAGAGGUGACGUGCUUCCAUUCAUCAAGAACGAAUAGCUAAAUGCAGCCAACACUUAGCUAUGGGUGCUUGGUUAUCAUUUGUACAUUUCCAAGAUAUAUAUGCUUAUGCAUCGUCGUAUUUGUGGCUGCCUUUUCGAGAAAAAAUGCAAUAGUUUUUUUUUUCUUCUUUUCUUAAUUCUUACUAGGAUAACUUCGACCCUUCAUGGGACGGACACCAUCUUUGCUGGUCUGUGGUUGCUUUUUUUUGUUCUGCGUCUGGAUUGAAUAGUGAAUACUAAAAGCUUAUAUUUGUAACAUUCGAAAUUGAAUAGAUCUUCGGUCAAGCUCAACUAUCUUGGAAACAAUGCUAGCAAACACACUUGACAUAUGCAGGGAUGGAUGGAUGCCUAUGAAUAUGAAUGAAUAUAUGCUCAAGGCAUCUCAAACCAACUGAAUGCACCUACAUUCAAUACAUAAAUUCACCAGUGGCGAUAAAUAUUAUUUCUUUCUAUGAUCCAAUUGAUGGACGCUCGAUAUACAAUCAAAAUUUCAAUACGAACGUUUCAUUUUCGUACAACUUGUAAGGCAUAAUCAAUCAGUCUUUGGUUAUCUGUUGUUUCAUACAACUCAGAAUACUCUUCCACAGAUGAAAUACACAUCAAACUUGCAUGAAGUACAUUAAAACUGUUUGAACACCAAUCCAACAUCAAAAUAAUUGCACAAUGGAAGCAAAAAAGCAUCUCCAUAUCAGAAAAGAUGCAGGAAAGAGAGAAAAAUACGGAGUUGUAGAAUCGAGGACUUGAUACAAAGAUGCAGAAUAAGAUGUUACAGUCUUAUUGACAAGCUCAAUGAUUAGUUGUAAUUGACAUAGCAGUACAAAUAGGAAAUACAGAUGAACAACAACAGCGAAACUCGAGAAAAACAAGAAUUGCAGUUAUUCAUGAUCAUCAUAAAUAAUAAUUUGCAAGAUCGAAUCUACAGUUGCAAUAAUUUAAUCACAUAUCAAUGAACUGCAGUUAUUCAUUGAUGAAAUUAAAUCGAUAGUUAGAUAGUUGCUAACUUUUUAUUUCAAAAUAAAUAAAUAAAAAACUUACGAAUUGCCUAGUCUUGCUAGUCCCGUGGACCACUAAAUUAUUCAUGUUUCCAAUCAAAUACGCGGUGAGUCCUAAAUUGAAGAGCAUGUAGAAAAUAUCGAAUAUCAUUUCUCUCGUACUUUCUGCAUUAAAUAGAAUUCAUUAAUUGCAAUAGUUAUCUAGAGAGAUUAAAUAAAUGUGUGUUCAUAUAUACAAGUUGAUGAUCCAUGCUUUUUUCAAGAAUCUUUUUUUCAAGAAAGUCUUCGGAAAUUGAAUUUAUUGAAUGUAAGAACAUUACAUUGACAACAUUAGUUAAUAAAAUAAAAUAAAAAAACAUGUCCCACCAUCAAGAAUGAAUAGCUAAAAGCAUCCACAACUUAGCUAUCGGUGCUUGGUUAUCAUUUGUACAUAUCGAAGAUAUAUAUGCUUAUGAAUCGAGAUUCGAGGUGCUUGAUUUAACUACUGGAUUUGUUCAGCAUCGUCGUAUUCGUGGCUGCCUUUUCAAGAAAAAAUGCAAUAGUUUUUUUAUUUUCGUUUUUCUUUUUUGUUUCUUAAUUCGUACUAGGAUAACACGACCCUUCAUGGGACGGACACCAGCUUUGCUGGUCUGUGUUUGGCUUUUUUGUUCCGCGCCGGGAUUGAAUAGUGAAUACUAAAAGCUAUAUUUGUAACACUCGAAAUUGAAUAUAUCUUUUGUGUGAUCUUCGGUCAAGCUCAACUAUCUUAGAAACAAUGCUAGCAAACGCACUUGACCAAUGCAGGGAUGGAUGCGUAUGAAUAGGAAUAUAUGCUCAAAGCAUCUAAAACCAACUGAAUGCACCAAUGGCGAUGAAGAUUCUUUCUGUCUACGAUCCAAUUGAUGGACGCUCACUAUACAAUCAAAUUUCAGUAUCGACAGAUGGCUUAAACUAAACGAACAUUUCAUUUUCAUACAACUUGUCACGCAUAAUCAAUCAGUCUUCGAUUAUCUGCUAUUUCAUACAACUCAGAAUGCUCUACCAGAGAUGAAAUACACAUCCAACUCGCAUGAACUACUUUAAAAUUGUUUGAACACCAAUCCAAGACAAAAUAAUUGCAUAAUGGAAGCAAAAAAAACAUCUCCAUAUCCGAAAAGACGCAGCAAACAGAGAAUAUACGGAGUUGUAGAAUCGAGGACUCGAUGCAAAGAUGAAGAAUAAGAUGUUAUAGUCUUAUAGACAAAGCUCAAUGAUCAGUUGUAAUUGACAAGUAGUACAAAUAGGAAAUACAGAGGAACAACAACAGCAAAACUCGAGAAAAACAAAAAUUGCAGUUAUUCAUUGAUCAUCAUAAAUAAUAAUUUGCAAGAUCGAAUCUACAGUUGCAUUAAUCUUAAUCCCAGAUCACCGGAAUUCGAAUCGUGAAUAGCCAGAGGUUUAUUCGUGUUUUCGGUACUUUUUCUUUUUCAGCCAGAGUGACAGUAAAAUACCCGAAAAUCACACUUGGGCGAAACUGCCUUCAACACAAGC